AGACAUCCAGGAUCAAAUGGCAGAUAGUUUAGAUCUGAAAUUUGUCAAGGAGAGUAAAGGAGGGAGAGCAAAUGAACUAUGGCAGAGACUGCAGGGAAAGAAGAUGCUUAUAGUCCUGGAUGAUGUUUGGAAAGAUAUUGACUUCCAAGAGAUAGGGAUCCCAUUUGGUGAUGAUAACAGGGGUUGUAAAAUUCUUCUAACAACACGUAAUCAAGAACUAUGUUCUUAUUUGCCGUGCCAGCAAAAAGUAUUGUUAAGUCCCUUAACUGAAAUUGAAGCUUGGGCUUUAUUCAAAAGCAACGCAGGUUUAAGUGAUGAGGACUCUGACUUGAACAGAGUGGCAAAGGAGGUUGCGAGAAAAUGCCAAGGAUUGCCUUUAGCUCUUGCGGCAGUAGGAAGGGCUCUAAAAGGUAAAUCUAAAAAUGAGUGGAAAUUAGCAUCUAAAAACCUCAAAAAAUCUCAAUCUCGGCACAUGGAAAACGUUGAUGACCGAAGUAAUCCAUAUGCAUGUCUUAAGUUGAGCUACGAUUAUUUGAAGUCCAAGGAAACCAAGUUAUGUUUCUUGCUAUGCUGUUUAUUUCCAGAAGAUUACAGCAUUCCAAUUGAGGACUUGACGAGAUACGCAGUUGGCUAUGGGUUACAUAAAGAUGCGGAGUCCAUUGAAGAUGCAAGGAACAAGUUUAUGCGGAGAUGAAAACCCUCAAAGAUAGGUGUAUGCUGUUGGGCACUGAAAGUGAAGAAAAUGUGAAAAUGCAUGACUUGUUUCGUGAAGUUGCUAUUGACAUAGCAACUAAAGAAUAUGGAUUCAUGGUAAGUGCUGGCAAUGGGUGGAAGAGUGUAAAUAAUAGUGUUACAACAAUUUCGUUAAUGGGCAAUGAACUAGCAGAACUUCCUGAAGGAUUGGUGUGUCCACAGCUCAAAGUUCUUUUAUUAGAACUGGAUCGUGGUUUGAAUGUUCCAGAGAGGUUUUUUGAAGGGAUGAAAGCAAUAGAAGUUUUGUCUCUAGAGGGAGGGUGUUUGUCAUUGCAAUCACUUCAAUUCUCAACGAACCUUCAAUCGUUGCUGUUGAGAAGGUGUGAGUGCAAGGACCUCAUUUGGUUGAGAAAGCUGCAAAGACUUGAGAUUCUUGGUUUCAUGUGGUGCUCCUCCGUUGAAGAAUUACCUGAUGCAAUUGGGGAGCUCAAGGAGUUAAGGUUGUUGGAUUUGACAGAUUGUUACCAUCUAAGAAGGAUUCCUGUGAAUUUGAUUGCAAGGUUGAAGAAGUUAGAAGAGCUGUUGAUCGGGGAUGAGAGCUUCAAGGGAUGGGAUGUUGUUGGAUGUGACAGCACAGAAGGAAUGAAUGCAAGCCUAACAGAACUACGUUCGCUGUCUCAUUUAGCUGUAUUAUCAUUGAAGAUACCGAAGGUUGAAUGCAUUCCCAGAGAUUUUGUUUUUCCCAGCUUGCUCAAAUAUCAUAUAGUGUUAGGGGAUGGGUAUUCAGAAAUAGAAUACCCAACCUCGACAAGAUUAUAUUUGGUUGAUAUCAGCGCCGCAUCCUUAAAUGCAAAGACAUUUGAGCAAUUGUUUCCUACCGUGUUUCCUAUCAGCUUGCUCAAAUAUCAUAUAGUGUCUCUAAUUGAUUUUAGAAACAUUGAGGGUUUAGAAAAUAUAGUAUUGUCCUCUGAUCAGAUGACCACCCAUGGCCAUGGGUCGCAAAAGGACUUCUUUCAAAGAUUAGAACAUGUACACGUGUAUGUAUGUAGGGAUAUUCGCACUCUGUUUCCAGCAAAAUGGCGGCAAGCUUUGAAAAAUCUAAGGAGCGUGGAAAUUAAUAGCUGCUAUUCAUUGGAAGAAGUAUUUGAAUUGGAUGAGGAGAAAGAGCUGCUGUCAUCUUUAACAAUGUUACGGUUGUCAUCUUUACCUGAGCUCAUAUGUAUAUGGAAGGGGCCCACCAGACAUGUCAGCCUCCACAGUCUUACUCAUCUGGAGUUGUCAUAUCUUGACAAAUUGACAUUUAUCUUCACACCGUCCCUCGCUCAAAGUCUUAUUCAUCUGGAAACACUUGAGAUAUUCGAUUGCUGUGGAUUGAAGCGUCUUAUCAGAGAGAAGGAUGACGAAGGGGAAAUAAUUCCAGAGUCUCUUGGCUUCCCCAAAUUAAAAACUCUCUCUAUAAUGUUCUGUCAUGAACUUGAAUAUGUCUUCCCUGUCUCCGUGUCUCGAAGUCUUCAGAACCUGGAAGAGAUGAAGAUUUUUAAAGCUGACAAUUUAAAGCGAGUAUUUUACAGUGGAGAAGGAGAUGACAUCAUCAUCAUCGACUUCCCUCAGCUAAGAAAAUUGUCUCUUUCAAAGUGCAGCUUUUUUGGUCCAAAGGAUUUUGCUGCCCAAUUGCCUUCUUUGCAAGAAUUAACCAUUGAUGGCCACGAAGAAGGGGGUAAUUUGUUGGCACAGCUUCGAGUACGUCCUUUAUAUUUCUCCAUUUUUUUUUCUUUUCUAAUUUAAAUCGUCAACUUCAAUACAUUGUGAUAAUUUGUUCUAUCUUUUAAAACAAUAGAGUCAAAAAGUAAAAAUUGAAACUUUCUUUUUAAAUACAAUAUUUUCUCAUUCAAAGAACUUCAAAAGCACCAAAUUUGUAUUGAAUUCAAAAAACAUAUAUUUUUAAAUAUUUUUUCAUUUUUUUUUACAAUUUGUUUUCACUUUUUUUAUGAAAAUAAUAAUUUAAAUGAUCAACAAUCAAGCAUUUUUAUUAAAACAUUUUACUAAUAUGUAAAAUUCAAAUUAUUUCCUUUUAUAUUUUUAUUUUUGGAAAAUGUUAUAAUUUUUUUUUAUUAUAAAUCGAAUAUAAAAUAUUAAUUUUUUUGAGUUAAAGUAUAAUUUUUCAUGAUUUCUUUUAAUUUAACUAAUAUAAAAUAAUAGUUUGUAUUCAGAUUAUCAUAAAUAUAAAAAAAUAUGAUUUUAUAUUCCCAUGACCCAUUGCCUUGUCUAUCUAUAUCUUCUUGUUGAUAAGUAUUUCGGCAUUGGGGAUUACUGGUUCAUCUAUUUAACAAAAUUAUAUAAUAGUUUCAAAGUGCACAAAAAUUACUAGGAAUUAUAUCUAACAAAUUGGUACCCUUAUUUUCUUUUGAUGUAGGGGUGUACAAGUUUGGAAACAUUGAAGUUGUCCUUCAUGCUUGUGCCUGACUUGAGGAUUAUAUGGAAGGGUCUCGUGCCAUGUAAUUUGACUACUUUGAAGGUGGAAAGGUGUGAGAGACUGACACAUGUAUUCACAGACAGCAUGAUUGCUAAUCUAGUUCAACUGAACUUUCUAAAGAUAUCAAACUGUGAGGAAUUGGAGCAAAUCAUUGCUAAGGAUAAUGAUGAUGAAAAGGAUAAGAUAUUGUUAGGAAGUGAUCUCCAAUCUUCAUGCUUCCCUAAUUUGUGUCGACUUAAGAUUAGAGGAUGCAACAAGUUAAAGAGUCUCUUCCCAGUAGCCAUGGCUUCAGGUCUCAAAAAGCUCCAAGAACUUAAAGUAAGUGAAUCCUCUCAAUUAUUGGGAGUAUUUGGGCAGGAUGAUCAUGCUUCACCUGCCAAUAUUAAGAAGGAGAUGGUGCUCCCUGAUCUGCACGAGUUGUUGCUUGUACAAUUACCAAGUAUUUCCUGCUUUAGUCUCGGAUGUUAUGAUUUCUUGUUCCCUCAUUUGGAGACAUUACAGGUGCAUGGAUGUCCAAAGCUAACCACAAUAUUUGGUACUACAUCAAAUGGUUCAACGAGUGCUCAAUCAGAGGUGUUGUAUAUUUGACAUGAUUUCUUGCCUCUCGUUUAGUUUUAAAAGUGCACAAUAAUUACUAUGAAUUACAUCUAACAAAUCGGUACCCUUGUUUUCUUUUGAUGUAGGGGUUUAUGAAUUUGAAAGAAAUCUAUUGAAAACUUGGAAAGGAGUACAAGAUUUAAUGCAAGUUGGAUGUUUGAUAACUAAUAGAAGAGGUGGGCAUGAACUUUCAAUCGUGAGUUUGGAAACAUUACACUUGAACUUAUUGCCAAACUUGAGGUGUAUUUGGAAAGGUCUCGUGCCGAGCAAUUUGACUACUUUGAAGGUGAACGAGUGUAAGAGACUGACACAUGUAUUCACAGACAACAUGAUUGCUAGUCUAGUUCAACUGAACUUUCUAAAGAUAUCAAACUGUGAGGAAUUGGAGCAAAUCAUUGCUAAGGAUAAUGAUGAUGAAAAGGAUCAGACAUUGUCAGGAAGUGAUCUCCAAUCUUCAUGCUUCCCUAAUUUGUGUCGACUUGAGAUCACAGGAUGCAACAAGUUGAAGAGUCUCUUCCCAGUAGCCAUGGCUUCAGGUCUCAAAAAGCUCCAAGAACUUAAAGUAAGUGAAUCCUCUCAAUUAUUGGGAGUAUUUGGGCAGGAUGAUCAUGCUUCACCUGCCAAUAUUAGAAAGGAGAUGGUGCUCCCUGAUCUGCACGAGUUGUUGCUUGUACAAUUACCAAGUAUUUCCUCUUUAGUCUCGGAUGUUAAUUUCUUGUUCCCUCAUUUGAGAAGUUAAGGUGGAUGGAUGUCCAAAGCUACCACAAUAUUGCUACUACAUCAAAUGGUUCAAUGAGUGCUCAGAGGUGUUGUAUAUUGACAUGAUUUCUUGCCUCUCGUUUAGUUUUAAAAGUGCACAAUAAUUACUAGAAUUACAUCUAACAAAUCGGUACCCUUGUUUUCUUUUGAUGUAGGGGUUUAUGAAUUUGAAAGAAAUAUCUUUGAAAACUUGGAAGGAGUACAAGAUUUAAUGCAAGUUGGAUGUUUGAUAACUAAUAGAAGAGGUGGGCAUGAACUUUCAAUCGUGAGUUUGGAAACAUUACACUUGAACUUAUUGCCAAACUUGAGGUGUAUUUGGAAAGGUCUCGUGCCGAGCAAUUUGACUACUUUGAAGGUGAACGAGUGUAAGAGACUGACACAUGUAUUCACAGACAACAUGAUUGCUAGUCUAGUUCAACUGAACUUUCUAAAGAUAUCAAACUGUGAGGAAUUGGAGCAAAUCAUUGCUAAGGAUAAUGAUGAUGAAAAGGAUCUCCAAUCUUCAUGCUUCCCUAAUUUGUGUCGACUUGAGAUCACAGGAUGCAACAAGUUGAAGAGUCUCUUCCCAGUAGCCAUGGCUUCAGGUCUCAAAAGCUCCAAGAACUUAAAGUAAGAGAAUCCUCUCAAUUAUUGGGAGUAUUUGGGCAGGAUGAUCAUGCUUCACCUGCCAAUAUUAAGAAGGAGAUGGUGCUCACUGAUCUGGAGUGGCUGAUUCUAGAAAAAUUACCAAGCAUUGUCUACUUCAGUCAUGGAUGUUGUGAUUUCAUAUUCCCUUGUUUGAGGACGUUGGAGGUGCGUCAAUGUCCAAAGCUUACCACAAAAUUUGAUACUACAUCAAAUGGUUCAAUGAGUGCUCAAUCAGAGGUGUUGCAUAUUUGACAUGAUUUCUUGCCUCUUUUUUAAGUGUUUUUAUUUCUUGUUUCCCUCAAUAAUCAGAAUGUGUAUGCCAUGCUUGAAUUGGCUUUGCAGGUAUCUCAAGUAGCUAAGGGUUCCAGCACUGGUUGCUCCGUGCCAUCCAACACUUGUAGAACGUGGACCUCAUAUAAUGGGUGGAAAGAGGAAAAAGAGGAAGAGGAUUAGUUUGGCAUUGGAAUUUGAAAAACAUGCUACUAAUUCAUUCUUCCAGGUAAAAUGGCUGCAACUAUUUAUCUUCUAUGCUUCUUUAAAUGGUUGGAUUAAAUCAACAAAUACGAGAUGCCUGGAUGAUUUUGUUCUUGAUGUUUGCAUUAGGUUGGUUGGUUACCUAUGUGAUGAUCAACUCGACAUUGGUGGGAAGUAAUUCCAGCUGUUUCAUUAGCUACAACAAUUUGUCUUAUUUCAUGUGUUUGUUGUGUGAAAUUCCAGAAAUGUUGUGUGUUUAGUAAUUUGUGUUUCUUUUCAAGUGUCUGAACCUUCAAAAACGAAAGGCAUAAUGUUUACUCAUUUGUGUGCUUGUUGUUUAAUGUGUGGAUUCUUAUUCUUUUCAUUUUAAUGUUCUAUUUCUAUUACGGAUUCUUUAUGUGGUUAACUUGUUAUAGUGCGUAUCGUACAAUAAUAUGGUUUCUACAUGAAUAUAUAUAAAUACAUGUAAAUGAGUGUGUGUAUAUAUAUAUAUAUAUAUAUAUAUAUAUAUAUAUAUAUAAUCAAUUUACAAAUUUAUUGACAGAAUAUUAAAAAUUCCAAUAUAUAUAUAUAAGUAAAAGGAUAAAUCCUCUAGCUUUGAAAAGAAUUAGUGUUUGCCUUUGAGAUUGUAAUUUUUUUUUUUAGCGUAUAUUCAAUUUAAUAUUUUUAAUAAUACAAAUGAAAAUAAACAGCAAAUUUAAUUUAUAAAUGUGACUAUCUCAAAACAAUGUUGAGAAGGAAGAAAGAUUAGUAGAAUAAAAAUAAAAUUAAUAGACUUUUAAAAAGCAAAGAGUUUUUAAUGUUAAAAUUUUUUUUUUUUAUUUAAUAGACUCAAUUAUGUAUUUUUUUUUAAAAAAGAUAACUCUAUUUUAAUUCUGACUUUUAGCAACAUGUCAUCUUAACAUACCUGUAAGUGUGGAUAUUAAUGGCUGCGAAUCAUUGGAAGAGGUAUUUGAAUUGGGUGAGGCUGAUGAAGGAACCAACGAGGAGAAGGAGCUGCCGCUGCUGUCAUCUUUAACAGAGUUACGGCUGUACUGGUUACCUGAGCUCAAAUAUAUAUGGAAGCGGCCCACUAGAUAUGUUGAACUUGUGGUAUCUUGACAAACUGACAUUUAUCUUCACACCGUCGCUGGCUCAGAGUCUUAUUCAUCUGGAAACACUACAGAUUUAAAGGCCAUUAAAGGCCACGAAGAAUUGAGUAAUUUGUUACCACAGCUACAAGUGAUUUUUUAGCUAAAUUCAAUACAUUGUGAUAAUUUCUUAUUUCUUCCUUCAUAUUUAUAAAACUAAAGUAAUGGAUAAAUGCUAGCAAAUCCUUCCGCCAAUUAAUAAAAAAUGGUUUUUUUAUCCAUUUUCCUAAACAAUUAGAGUCAAAAAGUAAAAAUUGAAACUUUCUUUUUAAAUACAAUAUUUUCACAUUAAAAGAACUUCAAAAGCAACAAAUUUGUAAUUAAACAAAUAUAUUUUUGUCUCUUAUGUAUUUGUUUAUUCUAACUUAAAAUACUAAUUAAACAGUCUAAUUUUUUAAUUUGAUUUAUGAUUUUUUAAAAAAACAUUUGAUUAUCACAACAUGGAAUAAAAGUUUAAAAAAAAAACAUUCUCGGGCCUACACAACACAUGAGCUGAUUAAAUGGCGACAAUUCCAUUAGCAAAUUUGUGCUACAAAUGACAAAAUAAAAAUAAACUCAGCAAACAAGAUCAGUCCUAGUUAAUUUUGUCAACUGUUGGCCUAUUCCAAACUAUCAAGCCUUGAACCUUUCCAAAUUAAUUGUUUUUUUUUUUUCAAUUUGUUUUGGUCUAAUUGCAUUGAUUGCUUGGUUGAUUGAAUGAAUGGUGCAGUCCUCAUUUUCAUUUACUUUUGGCAUAACACAAAAACAUCCCUUUCAAGUUACAAAACGACGUGCAGCUCAGUCAAUGCCUCCAUUGCCUACCGCCUUCAAAAAAUCAACUGCUUAGUUGGAUACGUCCUUGGCUUGCUUAGAGCAACAGCCACAUUAAAUGACAGCCACCGAAAUGUUUGACAUGUGGCCUAGAAUGUGAAUUAUGUGUUAGCAAUUAGCUAAUUUUUUAAUUUGAUUAAUUUGAUUAAUUUAAUUUGUUACGGUGGUGUUUGAUUUGGUGUUUGAUAAUUGAAGAUGAUUAGUAACUAACACUAUCUUAUUUGAUAGAUGUGAGAAUAUUUAAAUGCUUAAAUAUUUAUGUAGUGAGACAAAAUACAAUGAUAUUUUAGAGAGAUAAAUUUUAAAAAUAUAUAUUCUAAAAAUGUUAAAAAUAGAAAAAUUAUAAACCUUAAACUUUGAGGAUUUAUACUAUAUUUAUAAUUUAUAAGUCUUGUUUUUUUUAGAGAAAAGAGAUUAAAAAAUAAUUUUAUCUUUGUGAUAUUUUAUUUAAAAUAAUAUGGGUUUUAUUAAUAUAAAAUAUUAAAGGAUUUUUACAGGAUAUUAAUUUUUUAAAAAAAUAAAAUAUUGAGCCUAAGCCUAGUAGAAGUAAAAAAUAAACUUACGAACAAGGUAUAUGGAUACAGGCAGCGCUUGUAAAAACCUAGAGCAGUUAGGCUUUUGGGAGUUUUUUUAAGCCAUUUAAAUUUUGGUCUAAAGCGAAUAGAAGUGAUAAUCUCUUCUUUUGUUCUACUGAAAUUCUUGACGUUUAGGCUGCGAAUAAAUUUAUCUCAUCUUGUUUACCUAGAAAAUUGAGGGAAAGUAGCUGAAAUAAUUUAAAACCAUUUAAGAUUUUUGUAAGUUUAGCUAGUUUACUCAUUCACUUUCCUGUAGUUUCUCAGAUACCAAACACGUUUUUAUAUGUUGAAUAAAUAAUUAACCACCAAUUAAAGCAGAAGGAACAUUUGUGUUUGAAUCCUGAGAAAAUUGAGUAGGAAAAUAAAGGGAAAUUUUUGCAUUUUAUGAAGUUUAUUUUUCUUAGUUAUGAUGAUUUAUUGUUUUGGAGGUCCCUAAAAGUAGAAUAAUGGUCCCCAAAUUUACAAUGUUUUCCUGUAAUCAAACAGUGCCUUUUUUAAAACUGCUCAAUUAUUAAUCGCUUGGUGUCUACUUGUCAAUUCAAUUGACCUCUUACAACCACAUGAUGAGCUUGUUAUUGUGCUCAAUUAGGGCUCGAUCUUCAAAAGCUCAAUCUUCGAAUCUUCUUCUAAAAUCUUUAAUUUUGCUCUGAUAUUUAUGAAAAUGUAAUUCAUUAUUAAACCUAAAAACUUCUAUAACUCCAUUCUCAAUCCCAAAAUUUUGACUUGAUUUUGUCAUAAGUUUUGGUUUAAAUCAAAAGUUAAUUCUAGUCAAAACUCGUACCAAGUUUAAUUUAAAUUUUGACUUAAAUCAAGAUUUGUUAUAAAAUUGAGUCAAAACUUUACUUUAAUUAAUAAAAAAAUAAAAUUUUAACUUAUGAUAAUUUUUUCUUGAGUAAAAAGUUAAAAAAAAACAACUUAAAUUAAUUUGCAAAACUUAACCAUAUACAAUCAAAAUUUGGACUUAAAUCAAUUUGUUAUUACACAGUUAAUAAUCGAAAGUUACUUUAAAUUAUGACUUGAAGUCAAAAUUUACUUUUCAUAAAUGUUGCCACAGAUACCCUAACUUCAAGUCCACAAAUUAACCAAUGCUCUUCAAUACUACAAAUAAUGUAAUCAAUGGUCGUCCUCUAUCUGUAGCAAUGGCAAUGACAAAGACAGUUGCAUUUUCUUGAGCAUAGUUGUUUAAUGAGGUUCGGUUAAGAUAGAAAGGAGAGAUUUUGACGAGCAAGUCCAAAUAAUUGCCUUUUUUUAUUGUAAUUCCAAAUAAUGUCCUUUUUUAUUGUAAUUUCAAAUAAUGUCCUUGAUUUAUGAAUCUUGAUAUAGAAAUAAUGAGUAAUUUAUUCUUCUUCUUCCAAUAACUAAAUGUUCGUUCAUACGAGGAGGUGAUGGUAUUGAAAUUUAUCAUUAUCAUUUCAGAAUAAGAAAAUCAAAGAUUCUGAAUAUAAAAAAGAUGUUUUUAUGUGAUUGUUAUCUCAAAAGUUCUAAAAUUUAUUCCUAAAUUAUCACAAAGAUAUAUAUUUUAUUUUUUUAUUUAUAUAUUUUUAAUCAAAUAUAUUUGUAUUUCUCGUCCCUUGAACAGUGUUUUAAGACCUGGCCCGGCCCGGCGGGUCGACCCGUGACCCGGGCCUGUGGCCGGGCCGGGUGGAGGCCAAAACCCGCUUGGAAAUUGGCCCGGCCAGACCCGGUCGACCCGGAGGGUCGACACGGGACCCGGCUGAGACCCGGCCACUUUUAUUUUUUUUUCCUGUCAUUAAACCACGGCGUUUAAUGACAUUUAAAAUCCUAAAAAGUUAAAACGCUCGGCUGAAAACUGAAGACAGAAGAAGAUCGAAGCACUUAACGGUCUUAACCUAAUUAUCUUACUCUGCCUUUGAAAACUGAACGGAGCAGAAGAAGAACGAAGCCCACACGCAUUUUCACACCACCGAUUUAAAGCUUAGCCGCGCACCCUCAAAGCCCUCACAUUAUUCCCAGCAAAGCUAGCUCGCUCCCUCCACAGAUUAAAAAACAAAAAAACACAGAAAGCAAUUCAUGGACUCUAUCAAUUCCUUCAAAGGAUAUGGUAAGGUGGAUGAAGCAGAGCAGCAAGCCUUCUGGAAGAAAUCGCGGAAGCGUUUGAUCAUUAUCGUUGUCUCCUCCAUUGUUCUUUUAGCUGUGAUAAUUGGUGCUGUUAUAGGAGUUGUUGUGCACAAACGAAACAACAAGUCAUCAUCCGACCCGGUUCCUCCUCCUGAGUUGACUCCAGCCACUUCACUGAAGGCGGUUUGCAGUGUGACUCAGUACCCAGCCUCAUGUUUCUCCAGCAUCUCUGCCCUUGAAAUGGGUAACACCACAGAUCCGGCAGUGCUUUUCAAGCUCUCUUUACGUGUUGCAAUGAAUGAGCUCUCCAAGCUCAAAGACUACCCCGAUAAGCUCAUACAAAGCAUUAAUGACACAAUCCUUCAAGAUGCUUUGAAAGUCUGCUCAACCGUGUUUGAUGAUGCUGUAGAUAGACUGAAUGACUCCAUAUCAUCAAUGGCUGUUGGUGAAGGUGAACAGAUUUUAUCACUAGCUAAAAUGAAUGACUUGAAGACUUGGCUCAGUGCUACAAUUACCGACCAAGAAACAUGUUUAGAUGCUCUGCAAGAGUUGAGCACUACAAAGCAUUUUAACCAGACACUUGUUGAUCAAGUCAAGACAGCAAUGGAGAACUCUACCGAGUUUGUUAGCAAUAGUUUGGCCAUUGUUGCAAAAAUCCUGGGUUUGUUGUCUGAUUUCAAAAUCCCAAUUCAUAGAAGGUUACUUGGAUUUGAAAGAAGCCAUGUUUCAGAAUUUCCUCAAUGGGUUAGUUUGGGUUUUUUUUUUUUAUAUAUAGUUUUUCUGGGUUGACCCGGGUUAACCCGGGUCAACCCAUCUGACCCGUGACCCGAUCACUUGACCGGGUUAAUGACCGGAUCGGGUUUAAAAACUAUGCCCUUGAAUACUAAUCAAAUAUAACCUACAUAACCAUUUUUUUUCAUUCGAUUUCUAAUUUGUUUUUAAAGCAUUUGAUUAUUGCAUCAUAAAAUAAAAUAAAAGUUGAGUAAAAACAAGCACCCACACCCCUGCAUAUUAAAUUCGCUUAUAAAAUGGUUCAUUAGGUAAUUUGGGCCACAAAUACCAAAACCAAAAUAACCUUAACCAAUAGUCAUCGCUCCAAAUUAAUUUUAGAAUUAGAUUUAUUUGACUUAUAUCUGAAAGAUAUUUAUCUGAAUUUCAUCUUGUAAAAUUAUUCGUGAGUGGAGUAUUUCAUGAAAAUCGAUAAAAGAAAUUCUACUUUAAUUUUUUGUCAAGAUAUGUCUAUCUUGAUAGAAAAAAUUAGGAAUGUAUUUCUCCUCCCUCGGAUUAAACCCGGCCCGGGGGUUGACCCGGCCAAGGGACCGGGUCUCGGGUUUCAUGGGUCAACCCGGGUCAACCCGGAUUAACCCGGAAUAAUUAAAAAUAAUAAUAAAUUAAUAUUUCAUAUGAAAAAAUUCAUGUAAAUAUAGAUUAUACAUAUUAUAAAUAAUGAAGUUUAAAAUAAUAUUUUAAAAAGUUUUUUAUCCCACAUUAAAAAGAUAUUAUGUUAAGCUUUUAAGUUGAAGUAUUUAAAUUAAAAAAGUUUUUUAUCCCACAUUGAAAAAACAUAACUUUUUUCUUUGGGAACAUAAAGUAUAUAUACUAAUGGGUUUCAAAUCCCACAUUGAAAAAACAUAACUUUUUUCAUGGGAACAUAGAGUAUAUAUAUGAAAGGGCUUCAAAUCCCACAUUGAAAAGAUACUAUGUUAUCCCUUUAAGUUGAAGUAUUUAAACCAAAAGGUUUUUUAUCCCACAUUGAAAAAACAUGAUUUUUUCCUUGGAAACAUAGAGUAUAUAUACUAAUGGGUUUCAAAUCCCACAUUGAAAAAAUAUAAUUUUUUUCAUGUAAACAUAGAGUAUAUAUAUGAAAGGGCUUCAAACCCCACACUGAAAAGAUACUAUGUUAUCAUUUUAAGUUGAAAUAUUUAAACCAAAUUUUUUUUUAUCCCACAUUUAAAAAAAAAAAAAAAACCAGGGUCUCGGUUUGCCCGGGUCGCCCAGGUCCCAGGUCGCCCGGGUUUGGCCAGGCUGUUACCACAGCCGGUCUUUUGUUAAACCCAAACCGGUCCAGCCACCGGGUCGACCCGCCGGGCCGGGCCGAGUUUAAUAACUAUGCUCCCUCCAAUACUCCAAUAGUAUAGGUUCAAGCCUCAUUCCCGAUGUAGAGGGGGAGAUCGUUAAACUUGAUGAUUAAAGUAGUGUUUAGUAUUAUUUUAGAAUAUAAAAGAUAAAGAUUGUGAAAAUGAAGAAGACAUGUUUUCAUAUUUUUUUUGUUUUAAGAAUAUAAAAAUUAAUAAAAAAAAAUGAUUCCAAAAACAAAUUUAUUUUACAUAACUAUCUUUAUUUUCUUCAACAAAUAUAUUUUUGUCUAUUAUGUAUUUUUUUCUUCUAACUUAAAAUACUAAUUAAACACCGUCUAAUAUUUUAAUUUGAUUUGUGAUUUUUUAAAAAACCAUUUGAUUAUCACAACAUAGAAUAAAAGUUUAAAAAAGAAAUACUCACAGGCCUACACAACACAUUAGCUGAUUAAAUGACGACAAUCCCAUUAGCAAAUUCAGCAAACAAGAUCAGUCCUAAUUAAUUUUUACACAAGUAUGUUGUCAACUGUUGGCCUUUUCCAAACUGAGAAAAUUGAGUUGGAAAAUAAAGGGAAUUUUUUUAAUCAAAUAGAAAAAGUAAUACCCAUAAAUUGAAAAAUAACUUAAAUCAAAUUAUAAAAGUAAUACCCAAUAUAACUUAAAUUUAGCUUAUAGUACGUAUGCUUCUUAUUCUUACCCAUAAAAUUGGCAAUUUCCUAUACAGCAUAUGCUUCUUAUUAAUAAACACUAAUGAUCCAACAAUUGAACCAUGUAUAUAUGUUAUUAAAUGAAUUGAAGCUCCUUUUGAAAUUUAGACAUCAAAGAAUUCGGACCUAUACGUACUUGCUAACUACAGUAGCAUGUUAACUCUAGUCCUUAAUGCUUUGAACUUUUUUUUUCCAACAAUUUCUUUGACACAAUAAAUUGGACUUUCAUUGAAAUUAGCCUCUUUAAGUUCAAAAUUACACCAUUAUAGAUAUUCACAUAAAAUGGCCCACUCAGUCACAGCUUUGUAAAAGCUUAAAAAGUAGCUAGCAACUUAAUGGCUUAGAGGCCGUUUGGCACUGCGAUCCAAACGAUUUUUUGCAAAAUUUCAAAAAAAAAAUUUUUUGCUAAAAUUGAGUGCGGUUUGUACUUUCUGAAUCAUUUUGAUGUGCUGAUAUCAAAAAUGAUUUUUAAAAAAUAAAAAAACAUUAUUGACAUGCUUUUCGGCACGAAAUGCUAUUUGAAAAGCAACCGCUACCACACUCCCUAACAUCGACAAAUGCUCUCAGUCGAGUAAAUAAGUUCGGUACGUUUCAGUUAAGCUAGAAUUCAAUUAAUCAAUUUAAAAAAAAAAAGAAAAAACGAGUUUUUUUCUUUAUAUUAUACUAAAAAAAAUAAGUCUUUCACCGUGAAUUCACAUAAUGAAAGAGUGAUUUAUCUUUUGGUAGACAAAAUAGCAUGCCUUAGGUCUAGGGGUAUUGUCAUAACUUAUUUUUGGGUUAUUUUCCAAAUUCACUUUUUUUCUUCCAAAAAAUAAAAAAAAAAUUCAAACUAAAAAAAUAAAAAAUCCAAAAAAAAUAAUAACAAUACGAAGAGGAUGUCAGAGCGUCUAGAAAAUGGCGCUCGAAAAUUCAAAAAUUAAAAUUUGACUGUAUAUAUUUUUAUAGAUGAAGAGUCCUGUUGAUAAAGAAAAAUUCAAUUCGAGGAAAAAAGUCCAAAAUCAAAUGUUUAUGGACUCAAUUAAAUUUUAUUAGAGGUUUAAUUGAAUUUAUAUAGGGUUUGAUUACAAGAAAAAUUGAUUUUUAAAUCAAUUUAGGCUUUAAUCGGAAGAAAUUAAAGUUUCGCGGUCAAAAUAGGAUUUUUAAGAGUUGAUUUGGUCAAAUCAUGGCCUUAAUUGCAUGGAUAUUUAAGUCUGAUGGCCAAUUAAGGACUUGAUUGAAGAAAUCCAAAGCCAAGGACCAAAUGGAAAAGGGCGCGUAAAUAAAGGGGCUGAAAUUGACCAAAUCAAGGGUCAAAUUGAAUGAAUUUGAAGAUUAUUGAUCAAUUAAGGGUCAAAUUGCAUAAAUCUGAAACUAAGGACCAAAGGAAAAAAUGCGUCGAAAUCUGGGGUUGAAAUUGAAGUUCUUCAUGGGUAAAUUGAACAAAAUUAAAAGUUUGAAGCCAAUCAGGGGUGUAGAUAGAAAUAAAUCACAAAUUGAAGGACUAAAUCGUAAGACUGGUUGGGUGGCCACCUUCCCAAGGCAUUUGACGCCUCGUUUCGUCACCAAAUUGGAUGAAAUGUACACGAAAACAAUCCUGUGAUACCUGACUACACACUAGUGUAAGCUAUUCAGGCUGAUCGAAGCUGCAGAGGCGAUGGCACCUCCCCAAAGUGGCAAACCCGACCAGCCAUUUUUCCUGCAAAACUGAUAGUUCAUGAUUGCUACUUUGAGCCAAUGGUUGGCAUGAUUUCUUGUCGAAACAAAGGCUGAGAUUUUUCACCAUAAGAAACAAAGUGUCCCUCUUCCUCCGCCUAUAAAUAGAUUUGAUUUUCAUGCCUCAGGGGAGGAGAAAUUUCGGUCUAGAGAAAACCAAAAAACCAACCUUUUUAAUCUGGUUUCUGCUGCCAGCAGAACCUCUCUGUUUCUCUCUCCACCGCGGCCUCCUGCCGCGACCACCACCAGUCUGUCCACCUCCAUAUACACCAACCCAGAUCUUUAUAGGAGGCGGAUCAGCCACCACGAUUGUCACCAUCGUUAGCCUCUGCAUAUUUCUUCUCUUUUCUUCCUCUUCUUGUAGCAACCACCGUCUGCCACUGCAGCAAUACCACCGUCACCACCAUCCAUCGUCAGCUCAGCUACCAGAGCACCUCCAUUCCAGGUAAUUCUCGUCCUUCAUCUUUGUUUUCCCGUUUCAUUCCCUUGCAUGCAGAAUGUGUACUGUGCACGUUUCCCGUUUCAUUCCCUUGCAUGCAGAAGGUGCACUGUGCACGUUUUUGCAAUGCAAGGCAAAAUAAUUACCCGGUUACUGUGCAUGAGCGCACAGUAACCGGAUAAUUACAUUUGGCUGGUUAUUGUGCAUGUCACAAUAACUAGCCCGGGUUGGAUCAUGGCUGCCACUCCGGGUUGGAUCAUCAGCCCAGUCCACGCGGCUGGGCUGAGUCCAACCCAAUAUAAGGUAGUUUUUGUUUUAUUCGGGUCGGUCCCAGCCCAAUUUUGUUUCGGGUCCGGCCCGUUCAAAAAUUUACAAAAAAAAAAAUACGUUUUCAAAAACAUCCGUGAUUUUCUUGCAUAUAUUUUUUAUCCAUUUUAAUUGAUAUUAGUUCAUUUUUUAUAUACCGUAAAAGCACAAAUGCGGUAUUAAAAAACCCGGUUUUCAUCAAAGCAUAAAAAAAACAUGUCUUUGUUUUCAUGCAUACUGCUAAGUCUCUAAAAAGCAAAAAAAUCAUAUGGUAUUUUCAUACAACAAAGAAAACUUUUUUAAAAAAAUAUAUAUGUUUUAGCAUGCAUCUGGGCUUUAAUAACAAGUUUAUUAAAGUCACAAGAACUAGGCCAAUAUUUCAAAAAAACAUCAAAAACAAUAUAUAUUUUUUCUCUUUUAAUAUCCAGGAUUACUAAUUUAUACAUAAAACGUACUCCUGUUAUUAAAUAUGUAGUUUUUUUAUUUGAUGUUAGCACAAUUAGGUUUUAUCCUAUAAGGUAAGAACCUCCUUACUGAGGAGGGCUUUUCUUGAACCAUAGACGGACCAACAAUUAAAAAACAUGACAAGACCAUAGAUUUUUUAUCAGACAAAAAAAUAACACAACUUACCUUAGGUAGGGUGUAUUUUGGGUGCUAAUACCUUCUCUUUACGCAACCAGUCUCCGUAUCCGAUCUCUGAGACUAGUUAAGGUUCCUAGUGACCAAAUUUACUGAUAAAAAACAAGAACUCCUUGUCUCCCCAUAUUUACCAGAUAUAUAUCUAUACAUGAGGGUGGACGAUCGUCGCGACGCCGCACACGUGCGACAUGUAUGAUGAUCUUUUUCAUAGAACACAUUGGUCAUUACUAAAAGGGGGACUAGAUGAUAUUUUUACAUUUUCUUUGCACAAUGUGAUUAUUUAAUUACCUUUGAAAGAUAAAAAAAAAAAAAUCACUUGGGUCUAGAGGCUUUUUUUUACUUGACUUUUCAACAAGUAAGUUACUUAAUCGCACAUGGAAAUUUAAAACAAUUGUCUUUGACUCGAGGGCUCUUUUGUCAUUUAGAUAUGGUCAUUUAAUAGUUAUUGGGUUCCAUUGAAGGCAAGAAUAUAAUUUGACGAGUCUUUAGGUUUUUAGUAAAGUCCGAGUCUAGAAUUUAAUGGUUUGCAGGUUUAAGAGAUUGACCCCGAUUUUUUUGUUUUUUUUUUCAUCCUUCAACAUUUUGUUCCUUUUUAAUUCACUUUAUAUGAUAUUUUUUAGUCUUUUUGAAAAUAUCAUAGGUUGCCUUGGUUUUUUAUUUUGUUUUUGUCUUUGUUGAAUUUCAUUUUUUAUGAAGGAAUUUUAUUUUUAAGUUGAAUUAAAUUGAUUGAUUUCAUCCUCUAACAUUUAGUUUUUUAGGUGUUGAGCUCGGGUCAAGAAUUUAAUGUAUUGCAUGUUUGAGUGUUUAACUUGAGUUUACAUGGUUCACUCGAGCUUCUUUGAUUUUUUGUUUCACUUUUGUAAGCUCUUUUUUUUCAUAUUUCAACCUCUAACAUUCUUUUUUACUCAUUUUCUAUUGGAGUUUUUUUUAAAAUAAAAAGGGUACGACUCAAAGUUUUUUUUUUAAUAUUUGUUAAUGGUUUCCCUCAAUCUCAUAACUUGUAUGACGGGUUUGACAGGUGUUGUUACCCAUUUUUGGAUUCCCACACAAAAAUAAAAAAAAUACAAAAAAAAUAAUUGGAGCGAGAAAAGGGAUGAUGGAAUACCAAGAAAGGUCAAAAUUGGUUGAGGAGGUUUCAAAAUGCAAAAGAUUGAAAUUUAACAGUAUAUUUUCGACUAAUGAGAGCCACGUUGACAAAGAAAAUUCAAGUUAAGGAAGAAAAUUUCAAAAUCAAAUGUUUACGGACUCAAUUAAAUUUUAUCUAAGGUUUAAUUGAAUUUAUGAAGGGUUGGAUUGUAAGAAAAAUUGAUUUUUAAGUCAAUUUAAGCUUUUAUUGGAAGAAAUUAAAGUUCUGGAGUCCAAUUAUAAUUUUUAAGAGUUGAUUUGUUCAAAUCAGGGGUUUAAUUGCAUAAUUAUUGAAGUUUGGUGGCCAAUUAGAGAUUUAAUUGAAACAAUCCGAAACCAAGGACCAAACCGGAAAUGGCGCUAAAAUCAAGGGAUCUAAUUACAAUUUAUCCGGGGGCUUGAUUACAAAAUUGCAAAAACAUCCAAGGACCAAAUCAGAAAUAUGCAUGUUGAAUUAACAAACGGCGUCGCUUCCUUGUCAGCUACUGAUCACCUUCUUCAUCCGCAACGGCUUCAACAGUGAAUGAGCGCUAUCAAUGGAGCCAUUUCAGCAACAAAAACAGCAGAUUGCUUCAGUUAUAGGGAAUGUUUCACGGCUACAAUUCAGACAUGCCGUUACCAAGUUAGACGUUGCACCGCAGGCCAUUCUUUGGCUUAUAAAAGCUAGAGAAAGACAGUGCACCAGGGAGGAAAAAGGUGAUAAAAACGGAGGGGAAACGAGACAGAGGAAAGAAAAGAAAAGAAAAGAAAAACAGAGGAGGGAGAGCAGGGGCAGAAAGAACGUGAUAAAAAAGAGAGGGAAAGAACAGAGAGAAGACACGGAGAGGGAGAAGAGAAGAAGAAAGAACGGGACAGAAGGAGAGUGAAGGAAGAACAGAAACACAAGCAGAAGGCAGGAGGAAGAAGAAGAAAAUACAGAAAAAACCGAAGCAGCAUCCUCCGUGUACCACCACCCAUCUUCCUCUUCGCCUCCACCAGCGGCACCACUAGCAACAGCAGCACCUCCACGAAGCAACUGCAGAGAGGAAAGAGAACAGUUGACAGGAGGAACCCAAAACAAAGGAUAGACAGCACGGUGGAACAGAGGACGAAGAGGGGAGAAACAAUGGCGUCUCUGCAACGGGGAAGAAGAAGAAAAACAGUAGCACCAACGGGCUUCUCAGCAACCACCACAGCCGGCUACCGCGACAACAACGCCACCGUGAGCCCAGCUACCAGAGCAUCUCCAUUCCAGGUAACACUCUUCUCUUUCUUCUCGUCUGCCCGGCUGGUCCCUUGCAUGCAGAACGUGCGUUCACGUUUCUGCAGCAACGAAAAUAAUUAACCGGUUACUGUGCAUGAGCACAGUAACCGGCUAAUUAUAAUUAGCUGGUACAUGUGUGUGUGUAUAAAUCUUCAAAAAUUAUUUCAAAAAAAUCUGUGAUUUUCCAUAAUUUUUUUACUGUAUUUUGAUCAACACCGAUUUGUAUUUUUACAUUGUAAAGAUACAAAUCAUGUAUUAAAAAUACCUGAUUUUCGUCAAGACAUUAAAAAGUAAUAAAAAAUUAAAAAAAUAUUUUGUUUUCGUGCAUACGGACUAGUCUUUCAAAUAAUAAUAAAAAAAUCAUAUCAUAUUUUCAUACAAAAAAAAAUUCAAAAAUUUAUAUUAUUAUGUAUUUUGGCUUUAAUAACCAGUUUAUUAAAGUUAUGAAAACUAGGCCAAUAUUUUAAAAAAUUUCAAAAAAAUUAUUUUGUUUUCUUUUAAUAUCUAGGGUUAUGAUCUUAUACGUAAGACGUAUUCCGGAUAUUAAAAAAAAAAUUUGUUGACGUUAGAACACUUAAGUUUUUUCCAAUAAGAUAAAGAUCUUUUUAUUGAGGAGAACUAUUCUUAAACUUUAGACGCACAAAAAAAAAAAAACCUUAGAUAGGGCGUAUUUAGGGUGCUAAAACCUUUCCUUUACGCAACCAGUCCUCAUACCUGAUCUCUAUGACCAGUUAGGGCUCCUAGUCAUGACCAAAAUACUAGGUCGCGACUCUCAUUCCAAUUUUUCCACUAAUAAAAGACAAGAAUUCAUUGUCUCUCCAUAUUUGCCACAUUAAGAUAACAGAACUUGUGGGUGGAUGUUUUCACCGUGACGCCGCACACGUGCGACAACGGGUUAACUUGGUUUUUUUUUGUCUUUUUUUAAUUGGUAUUUUUUUUAAUUUUAUAAUUUAACAUUAAGUUGAUUAUAAAUUAGGUUUCAUGAUUUAAUUUGGUUUACUUUUUAUAAUGUUAUCCUAGUUUUAUGACUCAAGUCACAUGUUUUGCGAAUUAAGCCAUGUAGACUUAGGUCGUUUUAUUGUAUAAUGUUUUUAGAUUGAUUUUUUUUUUCAAUUUCAACAUUUAACAAUAAUUUUAUUGAAAAUUGAGUUUCAUAUUUUAUUUUGAUUUAUUUUCUAUGAGGUUAUUCUGGUAUCAUAAUCUAGGUCGUGGAUUUGAUAUGUUAACCUGAGUUAACUAGGUCGAUCAAAUAUGUUUUUGUCUCAAUAUUUUUUUAAAAAAAUAUGUUGUCUUGAAUUUUUUUAACUUAAGGUUGCCUCAGGUCUUUUUUUUUUUAAUCUUUUUUAAUUUAUUUUUUGUAAAAUUUCAUCAUUUGAUAUUUGAUUAAUUGGGGAUUAAACUUCAUAGUUUGUUUAUAUUGUUUUCUAUGGAGUUAUCCUAGUCAUAUGACUUGGGUUGUAGUUUUGACAGGUGAACCCGAGUUGACUCGAGUUAUUUGUUUUUUCUCUUUUUUUUAAUUGUUUUUCUUUUUAAUUUCAUUCUUCAACAUUGAUUUAAUUGGGAAUUAGAUUUCAUAUUUGGUUUUGAUUUGCUUUCUAUGAAGUUUAUUUUAACCUCAUAAUUCGGGUCACAGAUUUGACAUGUUAACUCGAGUUAACGUAAGUUGAUCAAAUAUGUUUUUGUCUUAAUAAUGUUUUUUAAAAAUAUGCCUUCUUGAAUUUAUUUAGUCAAACUAUAUUUUUAACGGUUGUUAGAUUUAUUUUUUGACCUAUCAAGUUGACCAGGUCACAUCGAGACAAUCCUUACUUGAUUUUUUUUUAUUAGAAAGCACACUUAGCAAAUAAUAAUAUAGUCUUGAUAAAACUAAUUAAUCAAUUCCAUAGUUUCAAUAACAAUAUGUUUAAUUCUUAUAUUUUUAGUUAUUUAUAGUUUAGUACUGUCAAUUUCAAGUUCUUUUACAAGUUUUUUUUUUUUGCUUCCUUCUUGAAAAAAAGAAAAAGGAAAAGAAGAAGCAGCCAGUUGGGGAAAUUUCAUUAGGAAGGAAGCUAUCUUAUAUAUAUAGUUAAUGGAAUGUUUCAUAAAUAUACUACAAGGAUUAAAUAAUUAAUUUUAAUAAAUUACAGCGCUAAGUCAUAAUUAAAUCUUCAUUGACAUAUAGGAUUUUAUUAUUUGUUUUUUGAAGGAGAAUAUGUACAUGAAACAAUCUUUACUGUUCCUUCAUUUAGGAAUAUAGAAUUCAAAUAUGGUUUUAAGAGUAUAUAUUUAUAGGGUACAAAUCUGUUUGUAUAAGCAAUAUUUUCAUAAAUUUAUCAAUUCUGCAGCUGGAAAAAAGAAAUAGACUCAAUAUUCCACAUGAGAAAACCGAUAAAAUGAAAGAAAAAGAGAAUUCUUUCUUUAUCCAAAAAAUGCUUAACACAAUUUUAGUUACAGCACUACAACUCAACUGUUAUAUUAUCUUAAUUAACAAAAAAAUCCAUCAUAUAAUAAGCCAAAAAAAGUCCAUUCAUAAGCUCUUUCCCGGGGCAUAGGCUGACAGAUUUUAAACCCCAGAACUGAACACAAGUUGUAGGAUUUAAGUGUUGCAUUUUUUAUUAUAUAAUUAAAUAAAAAUAGCAUUUGCUUUGUUUUAUAGUAUUAAUUUUUUAUCAUAUAAUUAAAUAAAAAUAAUUUUAUAAAAAAAUAUUAAACUAAAUAGAAUUUAUGAUCAAGAAAACUCUUAAACAAUUUGAUUUGAAGCCCUAGUGAGAUAAAUAAUCAGAUUAAAAAAUUUCAAGAUUAACUCAUUAGACCGAGUUUAAUAAUUAGUCAAUAAAUUUUUCAUUACCUAAAUAUUAUUUUUUUAUAUUAAUUUUUCUCUUAUCCAACUAAUAACAUAAUGUUAACUAGUUCUAUUUCUAUUCGUUGAAGAACAAUGCUUUUCUAUGGAAAAAAAUAUAUUUUUAGGCCCUUGGGUAAUAAAAUACUUAAUUGAAAAAUCAAAAUAAUUUAGUAAUAAAAUUGAUAUAAAAAUAAAUUGGGUGCAAAAUCGAUAAUACCCAAGUAAUUUAAUGGUAUAUUUAAUGUUUGCCCCUGUUGAGAUUACGAAGAGACCAAAAAUAUAAGUAUUUAUAAAAAGAUUUUAGUUUUGAAGUUUUUAAAUCGAUUCUGGAGGACCACAAUAUCUCAGAGCACCACAUCAAAAGAUGAGAAAUUCCUGGAAGAUCACCACAUCAUGGUGUGUAUCUUGGACAAGCGGAAAGCACUUGUCGCCGUUUUGCCUUUUAGAAACUCUAAUGCUCCAAUACUUUCGGUGGAGUUUAGCUUCUUUUUUUAACUUAACCUUCAGCUCUGCUACAGUUCAAGGAUUUCUAUCCCUAAAUGAAAAAUGAAUUUUUGAGCAUAAAAUACCAAUAACCCAAUCCCGUCAUUAAAUUCUAAACAAGCAAACAACGCGUCAUUUUCAAAUGUAAUUGUAGCAAUACAUUAUUUUUUUCUUUUAUAAAGAAGAGAUGAUAUGUCUUCCACUUUUUAAUAUAAAAAAUUAAAAAGUUUGGUCCACGAGGGAGGCCUUUUCUUUAAUGAGUUAGGUACAUAGACCCACAUGUCUAACUUCCUUUGCCUUUUUUUUCCGCUGCAUUUUACACUUUAAUCAUUCUAAAGGACCAGUUAAAAAACAAUUAGAACUUGUGCAUCAUUUCCGCUGCAAUUCUUUUUAAUUUUUAAUUAUGUCUUGAUUAUUCCAUAAACAUAUGUUUUAUUAAAUAGAUGUGAUACAUUUUUUACUCAUGGUCAAUAACCCAAUUUUUACUCCCUUUAAAAAACAUUUAAAUUGUGCAUCAAAACAUUUUGUAGACAAAAUUGAACAUAUUUUUUUAAAAGAAACAAUUGUGAAAAAAUAUCAAGAAUUCAAAAAAUCACAAAAAAUAAAAUAAAAAUAAAAAUUAUAAUUUGGGAUGAAAUCAAAAAAAUAAAGAAAAUUUAAAAAGCAAGAAGUUAGGCCAACUAUAAUUUUGAGGACCAAUUAGAAAGUUUGAUUCAAAAGAAAAUUGAAGAAAAAGGUUGGAUUAAUUUGGCCAAUACUUUCGGUGGGUCAAGGAUUUUUAUAUCCAAGGGGGGUCAAGUUUUAAAAAGAAAAGGCAAAGAAAAACUGGCCCGGCCAUCGUAUCAAAAGAUGAGCUUACUUUUUCUUUUUUCCCUGUCUCUCACUCGUUGCUGUUUUCUCUUUUAAAAACUCAAAUUAAUAUUAAAUUAACAAGAAAAAACUAAAUUAGGUGUUUUUACCUCUCCUCACAAAUUACUAUUUGUUAAAUUAAUAUUUUUUAUUUUUUUAAUUAAUGUUUUUUAUAAAAACAAUUCAUUAUUUAAUUUUAGAUUUAUUUUUUAUUAGAUUAUUUAACUCCUAUUAGAUGAAUCACAUGUUUGGUGGGUUAAUACAGUUGACUCGAAUUUUUUUUUUUAAAUUAACUCUGAGUCUUGUUAUUUAAUAUUAGGUUGAUUGAUAAUUGGGUUUCAUAAUUUUUUUAUUGGGUUAUUUCGACUUCAUGAUCCGAGAAUGAUGCUUAAUGGAUUAACCCGAGUUAAUUCGGUUUAUUUUUUUUUUUUUUUUUUAAUUGAAUUUUUUUAUAAUUUUAUUAUUUAACAUUGAAUUGAUAGCUUUCCUUUGCAUGUCAACUUUUAUUAUCUUAUAGUUAGAAAGUAAAUACAAAAAAAUAAGUUAUUGAUCGCAUCCAUGCCCAUCGCUCAAUUUAUGGAUUUAGUGACUUAGCCCGAGAUAACCCAAGUCGAUAAAAAAAAUAUCAUCUUAACAUAUAAAAAAAAAACUUAAAAAAAUAUCAUCUUGAUUUUUUUUUUAAGUCACAUCAAGUAGCCUCUUGCCUUGUUUAAUUUGAAACUCAAUCCAUGUAAGGGUUUAUUUUGAGGGUUUAUUUUGAGAGGUUCCUUAACUUCUCAACUUGGUCUUUUGGUAUUGUUAACAAUUCUUUUUAAUUUUUAAUUAUGCCUUGAAUAUUUCAUAUAUUUUAUUAAAUAGACGUGAUACAUUUUUUACUCAUGGUAAAUAACCCAAUUUUUACCCCCUUUAAAAAACACAUAAAUUGGGAAUCAAAACAUUUUAUAGAAAAUUGAACAUAUUUUUUUAAAAGAAACAAUAGUGAAAAAAAUAUCAAGAAUUCAAAAAAAAAAUAAUAAAAAAAAUAAAAAUUAUGAUUUGGGAUGAAAUCAAACAAAUAAAGAAAUUUUAAAAAGCAAGAAGUGGUCUAAAACAAGUACAUCAUGCCAACUAUAAUUUUGAGGAUCAAUUAGAAGUUUGAUUCAAAAGAAAAUUGAAGAAAAAAGUUGGAUUUGUCGAAAUUCCUCGAAGAUCACCAUAAUAAGAUGGUGUGUAUCUUGGAAAAGUGAAAAAAGUUGGAUUUGUCGAAAUUCCUCGAAGAUCAAUCAUGUCCCUGUUUUGUCUUUUAAAAACUCUAAUAAUGCUCCAAUACUUUCGGUGGAGUUUAGCUUCUUUUUACAUAACCCCUUCAACUCUGCUACAGUUACUAUGGGGUUCAAUCCAGGAGGGGCAUCAAGUUUUAAAAAGAACAGGCAAAGAAAAACUGGCACCAUAUCAAAAGAUGAGCACUUACUGUCUCUCACUUGUUCCCGUUUUCUUUUCUAAAAACUCUAAUUACUAUAUAUUAAAUUAACAAGAAAAUACUAAAUGAGAAGGAGUUUUUAUUUGAUUAAUAUUUUUUUAAUUUUUUUAUAACUCCUCACAAAAUACUAUUUAUUUGAUUAAUAUUUUUUUAUUUUUUUAAUUAAUGCUUUUUUUUUUAUAAAAAAAUUCAUUGUUUAAUUUUAGAUUUAUUUUUAAUUAGAUUAUCUUACUCCUAUUAGACAGAUAACAUGGUGAGUUGAUCCAAUUGACUUGUUUUUUUAAUUAACUUUUUCUUCUCAGUCUUCUCAUUUAAUAUUAGGUUGAUUGAUAUUUAGGUUUUAUAAUUUGUUUUAUUUAUUUUUUAUUGGGUUAUUUCGACAUCAUGAUCCGAGAAUUAUGCUUAAUGGGUUAACCCGAGUUAACUAGAUUUGUUUUUUUAAUUAAAAAUUUUUUACAAUUGGAUUGAUUGAGACUUAAAUUUUACAAUUUUAAAAAAUUUAUUUAACUUGCAGCAAAUUACAGGUAAAUAGAAUAGUAUAAUUUAGAUCUUGAGACACUAACGUUAGUUGAACUACUUCAUGAUUGAUAUGCUUUAAAUGAGAAAUUAAAAUAUCAAAGGAUUUCUUUAUGAGACACUCCCAAGAUGUUGAAUUAUUAGAAGGUUAAUUUUAGUUCCUCGUCUUUUGAAGCACUGCUUACUUUUUUUUUCAGAUUGGUGAUAUCUUCUGAUUGUUGCUUGUUGUAGAUCUCCUCCUUCAUCCACCUUGAUGACUGCUACUCGUAUCAAAGGAUUUGCAAACUAACUUCAUCAAGUUUUAAAAAGAAAAGGCAAAGAAAAACCAGGGAAUCGACCAUAUCAAAAGUCGCGUACGAGAGAACCUUUGUUAUUAAUAUCACAUGCAAAGUUUUUAAAACAACAUUAUUGUACUCUUAAGGUGAAAAUGACAAGGAAUCGACCAUAUCAAAAGUCGCGUACGAGAGAACCUUCCUCACUGUUAUUUUCCUGCUUUCGUAAAGUUUUUUUUAGCUCUACAAUCUAUCUCGUCCAAUAUUACUGUGUAUCUUGGAAAAGCGGAAAGCACUCGUCCCCGUUUAUCUUUUAAAAACUCUAAUAAUGCUCCAAUACUUUCGGUGGAGUUUAGACUUUUUUUACAUAACCUUCAACUCUGCUACAGUUGCUGUGGGGGGUCAAGCAUUUCUAUCCAAGGGCAUCAAGGUUUUAAAAAGAAAAGGCAAAGAAAAACUGGCCCGACCACCAUUUCAAAAGAUAAGCUUACUUUCUUUUUCCCCCCGUCUCUCACUUGUCCCUGUUUUGUAUUUUAAAAAUUAUAAUUAAAUAUUAAAUGAAUAAAAAAAAACUAAAUGAGAAAGGGGUUAUCAAAGGAUAAGAUUAAAAGAUAGAGGAUCAAAAUAAAAGAAAAAUAAAAAAAAUAGGUGGCAAUUUCAAAAUUAACAUAAAAGUUCACUUUGUUUGAAUUAUAAAUUUUCAAUCCUUUUAGUUUUUGAAAAUUCAUUUUUUUAUUGAAUUUUUUUUUAAUAAAAACAAUUGAUUUGACUAUUUAUAAGUGAAUUUAAAGACCAAGCAAUCUAUAAAUUUUUUUUUCGAGGUUAGUCAAGUAGAACAGCUAUGCAUCUAAUAAUUAAGAAGAUAAGAAAGAAGAAAAUGAUAAUAGUAAAACUAGAGGAAGAUUAAUAUAUUGAUAUAUUAAAAUCAUAAAAAAUAUUAAUUUAAUAUAUUUUCGAACAAAACUCAUGCAAAUUCAAUUAAAAAAAUAUUUAAAAAGAACUAUAAGGAGAAGAUAAGGUUGAACAAGUGACGACAAUCUAUUUGCUUCUCGGAUUACCUUAUCUCCAUGUCACAGGUCCUUUCUCUUAAUUGUUUUCUAAAUUUGAAACUGUAAUUUGUAAUUGUAAUUCCCAGCAUAGCGCAUAUGCGAGGGUAAUCACAACAACUCAAGAGAAAAAUAACACCCUAUUAAAUCAAAUUAAAAAAAAAAACAAUUUGAAGCAUCGAAGGGUGAAAUAGAAAACAAUGAAAGGACUGAAAUGAAAUAAAACCUUGUUGGAUGCUAUCAAUAGCCUUGUUCUUUUAGCUUUCUGUAUAAUGUAAUGGGCAGGUCUUAUUACUUGAGUGUGUGAUGCAAGAGAUAGUCAUUGCAGAUUUUAGUUGCCUAAGUUUGAUCCUUUGUGGAGUUCCUUGCAAAUCUCUUUUUUUUUCUCCUUAUUCAUAAUUUUCAAAAAAAAAAAAACAUUUACCGAUCAUAGCUUUAGAUUAAUUAUAUGUGCUAUUGGAAGCGAAGAGGAGCUAGUAUCAUUCGUGCAGGUGUCAAAGUGAUCUUCAUCAGCCUUCCAUUCCUUUCUCUCUUCGCUAGGUGAGUACUUGUACAUAUUAUUCUUUUAUUUGUUUGUCAUUAUCUUUAUAUUAUGCUUUUUAUCUUAAUUAUGUCAUAAAUUUGCUUUUUUUGUGGGAAUUGCUGCUUUAAACUCAUAAGUGUAAACUAUUUUGUUUCAAUGUAUUCGUUAGAUCGAUGGUAUGCUAUCUUUCACUAAUGAAAUUCUUUUUAUUGGUUUUGAGAACGAAAAAAAAAGUAUUUCUAUCUUUGUUUUAUGGAAAAGCACAUAGAUCUAUGAACUAGAUAUAAAAAAAGAAAGGAUAGAUAUUCCCAUUACUUAAUAAUCGAGGAAAUGAGUGUUUAAAAUUAAGAUAAUAAAAUUGAAACCAAAUCAGCUUCAUUAGAUAAAGCUGUUGUGUAAAUAAGUGUGACUUAUACUCAUGGCAUAGUUAGAGAUAGUCAUUACAGAUUUUAGCUGGCUAAGAUUGAUCCUUUGUUGACUUUGUUCCAUUAAUUAUGUCAUCAAAUUGUAUUUUUUUUUAAGGGAAUUGCUGCUCUGACUCGUAAGUUAGAAUCCAUGUAAACUAUUUUGUUAGAAUACUUCUCCUCUUUUCAACAUAAAGUCGUUCUUUUAUAAAUAUAUUCAUUAGAUUGAUGAUAUGCUAUCUUUUCUUUUUAUUGGUUUUGAGAAAGAAAAAAUAUUUCCAUCUUUUAUAUGGAAAAGCACAAAGAUCUAAGAACUAUUGUGUAAAUAAUUGUUAGGGUAAGUGUGAAUUUUAGCACAUGGAAUGGAUAGAUAUUGAUGGGGGACAAAGGGAUUACAGGUCUGUUUUGGAUAUAAAUUAUACAAAAUCUGACCAUAGUUUCCAUUAUCAUCUCUGUUGAAUAUUCUUGGCACAAACAGCUCAUAGCUAAGAGAAGCUCGGAUUUCAAACCAGUUUCCAUCCCAUUUUAUAGACCGAAUUCUUACAAUAUCUUCUUCAUCGAUAAACCGAUUCUGGAGGACGACCACAAUAUGAUGGUGUAUCGUAGAGCACCACAUCAAAAGAUAAGAAAUUCCUCGAAGAUCACCAUGAUAUGAUGGUGUGUAUCUUGGACAAGCGGAAAGCACUUGUCCCCGUUUUGUCUUUUAAAAACUCUAAUAAUGCUCCAAGUUGAAUUUUAUUUUUAUUAGAUUAUCCUUGUUUUGUGUCUAGAGUAAUGGAUUUAGCUGAUUAACUAAGUUGAUUUUUUUUUAUUCUAAGUUGAUUUUUUUUUAUUUAAUUUUUUUUUCAAUCUCAUCAUUUAAUAUUGUGUUUGAUUAGAAAUUAGACUUCAUAAUUUAUUUUAAUUUUUUUUUAAUAAAAUUAGAAUUAUUUUCAAUUCCAACAUCUAAUUUUUUUAUACGUCAAAUUUGGUCACAUUUCUUUAUGAGACACUCCCAAGAUGUUGAAUUAUUAGAAGGUUAAUUUUAGUUCCUCGUCUUUUGAUGCACUGCUUACUUUCUGUUUUUUUUUUUUUUUUCAGAUUGGUGAUAUCUUCUGAUUGUUGCUUGUUGUAGAUCUCCUCCUUCAUCCACCUUGAUGACUGCUACUCGUAUCAAAGGAUUUGCAAACUAACUUCAUCAAGUUUUAAAAAGAAAAGGCAAAGAAAAACCAGGGAAUCGACCAUAUCAAAAGUCGCGUACGAGAGAACCUUUGUUAUUAAUAUCACAUGCAAAGUUCUUAAAACAACAUUAUUGUACUCUUAAGGUGAAAAUGACAGGGAAUUGACAGGUGAAAAUGACAGGGAAAAUGACAGGGAACCUUUGUUAUUUUCCUGUUUUCGUAAAGUUUUUUUUAGCUCAACAAUCUAUCUCGUCCAAUAUUACUGUGUAUCUUGGAAAAGCGGAAAGCACUCGUCCCCGUUUGUCUUUUAAAAACUCUAAUGCUCCAAUACUUUCGGUGGAGUUUAGACUUUUUUUACAUAAACUUUAUUUAGUUUGGAUUUCUAUCCAAGGUUCAAGGUUUUAAAAAGAAACGGCAAAGAAAAACUGGCCCGACCACCAUUUCAAAAGAUAAGCUUACUUUCUCUUCUUUUUUUUCCCAUCUCUCACUUGUCCCUGUUUUGUAUUUUAAAAACUCUAAUUAAAUAUUAAAUUAACAAAAAAAAAAAACUAAAUGAGAAGGGGUUUUUUUUUAUUAUACCCUUCCUCACAAAACACAACCUUGAACUAUACUAUAGUUGAUGUGGUGGAUCAAUUAUUUCUGACUAAGGCAUUACAUUAUCAAAAUAAAUUAAUAAACCGUGAGGUGAUUUUAUGAUGGCACCAUUCACUAUGAACCCUCUCACAUUUUAUCAUGAACGGGAGUAGUGAUUUUUUUUCUUUUAAUGAUCGAACAUUUUUUUCUUUUUAAUUUUAUCAUUUUGUGGUCAAAUUGAUGGCCAAUUAUUUUUGAUUUGUUAUGAAAGGGUAAGAUUAAAAGAUAAAGGACAAAAAAAUAAAAAAUAUAGGUGGCAGUUUUAAAAUUAACAUAAAAAGUUCACUUUGUUUGAAUUAUAAUUUUUCAAUCCUUUCAGUUUUUGAAAAUUUAUUUUUUUAUUGAGUUUUUUUUUAUGUUCAGUCAUUGAUUUAAGAGAUGAGAGAAAAUAUUAUUGGAUUACAGUUGAAGAAAAAAAAAGUCAUUAGUUGACAUCGAUCCUAGCCAUGUAAAAGGUCGAUUUUGGUGCAACGAGAUUCAUCCGAUGAUGAAAGUUUUACUUAGGUAUUCUUCAUGUUUUCUUAUCUGAAAGUUUUACUUAGGUGUUCUUUGUCUUUUCUAAAAGCAAAUAAGGUUACUUCAAGUUGCUUUUGGGUUUUUUUAAUGUUAUAAAUAGAUUUAUCAAAGUUUUUGUUGUGUUUUCUAGAUGUUAUGAGUUAAAAAUAAAAUGAAAAAAAAACUUCUGGGUAUAAAAUACCCUUAACCUAAUUCAAUCAUUAAAUUCUAAACAAGCAAAUGACACGUCAUUUUCCAAUAUAGGUGUAGCGACUCAUUUUCCAUGUUUAUUGUUUUAAUAAAAAGUGAAUAACAGGUCAUCCAUCCUUUAAUAUGAGAAAUUAAGAGAGUUUACCUUCUUCUUUUUUUUACAUAACCUUCAACUAUGCUACAGUUCAAGGAUUUCUAUACAAGGGGCAUCAAGUUUUAAAAAGAAAAGCUGAAGAAAGACUAGCCCGGCCACCAUAUCAAAAGAUGAGCUUACUUUCUCUUUUUUCCUUGUCUCUCACUUGCCCAUGUUUUCUCUUUUAAACACCCUAAUUAAUAUUAAAUUAGCAAGAAAAUACUAAAUAAAAAUGGGUUUUUAUUAUAACCCCUCCUCACAAAACACUAUUUAUUGGAUUAAUAUUUUUUUUAAUUAAUGCUUUUUUAUAAAAAUAAAUUUAUUUUUUAAUAUUAGAUUUGUUUUUUUAUUAAGUUAUCUCACUCUCAUUGCAAGAAUCACGGGUUUAGUGGGUUAACCCAAUUGACUUAAGUUUUUUUUUUCUUAAGUAACCUUUUCUUCUUAGUCUCAUCAUUUAAUACUGAGAAUAUUAAUAAUUACGCUUCAUGAUUGUUUUAUUUGCUUUCUAUUGGGUUAUUUUAGCCUCAUGAUACAUGAAUAAUUCAUAAUGAGUUAACCCAAGUUAACUCAGCUUGUUUUUUGUGUCUUUUUAAAUUGAGUUUUUUUACAAUUUUAUCAUUAAACAUUGGAUCAAUUGAGACUUAAGCUUUCGUAAUUUAUUUUAAUUUAUAUUUUACAAGGAUAUCUUAGUUUCAUGAUCAAGGUGUGAGUUUUGACAUUUUAAAUCGAUUUGUUUUAUUUUCUUUCUAAAACGUUAUCUCGGUCUCAUGAAUUGAGUCAUGGGUCCUUCAACAUUGGAUUUACAUUUUAUUAGUUUAUCUUUGUUUUGUGACUUGGGUAACAGGUUUGGCCGGUUAACCAAGUUGAUUUUUUUUUAUAUGGCUUUUUCCCCAUUCUCAUUAUUUAAUAUUCUAUUUGAUUUGAAAUUAGACUUCAUGAUUUGUUUUAGUUUUUUAAUAAAAUUAGAUUUUUUUUCAAUUUCAACCUCCUUUAGUUUUUUUAUAUGUCAAAUUCAGUCACCUUUCUUUUGAUUUCUAUUUAUUUUAUUUGAGAUAAUUUUUCAAAUUCAUCCCCUGGUUUUUUUCCUAUUAGGUUUGAUCCUUGUUUUUUUAUUGGUUUUUUUAAAAAAAAUUAAUUAUUUUUUUGCUUCAUCCUUCAACAUUAAAUUAGUUGGGAAUAGAGCUUUUUAAUUGAGUCAAGGUCUAGAAUUUCACGAGCUACGAGCUUGGAAGAUUAACAUAGGUUUAAGAAAUUUUCUCGAGUUUGCUUAGUUUUUCCCCCUUUUUAAACUUAUGAUUUUUUAGUUUAUCCUUCAGCAUUUAUUUAAUUAAAUAUUGGACUUUAUUUUUUUUUAUUUUCUUUCUAUUAGAUUUCUCAUUGAUUUUGAAAAUGAUACAAGGUAUCUUACUCUUCAACAUUAGACUAUUUGAUAAAUUUUAUAAUUUUAUUCAAUUUACUUUUGUUGUGCAAUAUCACAACAACAAGGUCAUUGAUUUUAUAUGCUAACCCGGUGGAAUCUUUGUUAUUAAUAUCAUAUGCAAAGUUUGUAAAACAAUAUUAUUGUCCUCGUGAAAAUGACAGGGAAUUGACAUCUUCUCACCAUUAUUUCCUUGCUUUCGUCAAGGCCGCUGAAAUAAGUUAAAGUUUUUUUAGCUCUAUAUUCUAUCUCGUGCUAAGAGGAACAGGAGAAUGUUUUAUGGCCUCAAUCAGAGAGGUAAUGUGUGGUGCUAAAAGACAAGGCAGAAUAAGGUGUCUAGUGGAAAUAGACUCUCCCUAGUCCCUAGUUAAUUUCUAUAUUUCCAUCAAACCUAUUUUAGGGUUUGAACAUGAACCAUCUGAAGAGGUUUUUUUUUCUUGUAUAUUAUUGCUUUAAUAAAGAUAACAAAAAAAAAGAAAAGGAUAAAAGUAAAACCAGAGAAAGAUUAAGAAUGCCAACAGAGUGUGGGAUUGAUAUUGUAAUAUAAUAUGUUUUUUAAAAUUAUUUUUUUGUUUAAAAAUAUUUUAAAAUAAUUUUUUAAAUUUUUUAUAUCAACAUGUUAAAAUCAUAAAAAAAAAUACUAAUUUAAUAUAAUUUUUUAGGUGUUGAGCUCCUGCGUUGAGCCUGAGUCAAGAAUUUAAUGGAUUGUGUGUUUGAGAGUUUAACCCUAGUUUAUAGGAUUCACUAAGGCUUCUUUGGUGUUUUGUUUCUGUUUUUAAGCUUUUUUCUUUUUUCAUAUUUUAACCUGGAACAUUCUUUUUUACUCCAUUUCUAUAGGAUUUAUCUUUCUUUUUAAAAUAACACGGAUUGCCUAAAAGGUUUUUUUUUCUUUUUGAUAUUUGUUAAAGUUUUUUGAUUUUAUCCUAUUUAAUUUAAUUUGAGGCAAUACAUGAGAGAAUUUUGUUUUUUCAAUUAAGUUUUUUGAAAAUUGAUAUUCUUUUUCUUUCUAUCUUUUUUUUAUAGAGUUAUCUUGAUAUUAUGUCUCAAGUCAUGGAUUCAAUUGAUUUAUCAAGUUUGACUCAGGUUUUUUAUCAUUUCUUUUUAUUUUUUUAUCUCGAGUUAAUGAUCAAAAUCUUAAAUUUUUUAAAAAAUUGCAUCGUCAAUAGUUUUUUUUUCUAAAUCUAUAUUUCUUUCUCUAAUUUCAUACUUCAACGUUUAGUUUAUUGGAGACCGGGUUUAAUAAUUUAUUGUGGUUUGUUUUAUAUAUGGUUAGCUCAGUCUCUUUACACUAUAAACUAAAAGAGGUGGUAAAUUUACUAUUUACCGCCUCACAAAACACUAUUCAUUUCAAUAAUUUUUAUUUUAUUUUGUUUUUUGUUUUCUAAAUCUAUAUUUCUUUCCCUAAUUUCAUAUUUCAACAUUUAGUUUAUUGGAAUCGGCUUAAUAAUUUAUCAUAGUUUGCUUAUAUAUGGUUAGCUAAGUCUAAUAACUCAUAUUAUGGGUUUGACGAGUUAGCUCAAUUUUUUUUUUGUCUUUUUAUAAUUGAUAUUUUUUUAAUUUUAUCAUUUAACAUUGGGUUGAUUAUGAAUUAAGCUUUAUGAUUUUAUUUUGGUUUGCUUUUUAUGAGGUCAUCCUGGUUUUAUGACUCAUGUCACGUGUUUUGCGAGUUAAGUCAUGUAGACUCGGGUCUUUUAUUGUAUAAUAUUUUUUUUUUUCAAUUUCAACCUUUAACUAUAAAUUUAUUGAAAAUUAAAAUUUAUAAUUUGUUUUGAUUUAUUUUCUAUAACAUUAUCACAAUUUCAUGAUCUUGAUUGCACGCUUGACAAGUUAAUCUAGGUUGAGACUCACACUAUUUUUUUGUUUACUUUCUAUAAAAAAUCAAAAUAGUUUAGAAAUAAAAGGGUGCAAAAUUGAUCACAUCCAUGUAGUUUAAUGGUAUAUUAAAAAACAAAAGUUAUCAUUUUGAAAGUUUUAUUAAAAAUUAAUUCAUGUUUUUAAUAAUCAUUAAAAUUAUAUUUUGAUCCAUAAAAUCAAUCAAUUUAAUUUAAGCUAACUUUUAGGUGAUAUAAUUAAAACCUUGAGCUAGAUAAAAAAAACUAAAUUACAAAAUUAACUUAUUAAACCAAUAAUAUAAUUAAAAGAUUCUUCAUGCUUUUAAUAUAUUUUUACAUUUUAAAAAAUUUACCCAAUGAAUAAGAGUUCAAUAAACUAGUAGAAGCUAGAUCAUGAGACACUAACGUCAGAUGAACCACUUCAUGAUUGAUAUGCUUUAAAUGAGGAAUUGAAAUAUCAAAGGAUUUCUGGGACAGGUUAAUUUAAUUUAGUUGUCCGUCUUUUGAUGCAGUGCUUAAUUUCUUUCUUUCUUUUUUUUUUCAGAUUGGUGAUGUCUUCUGGAUGUUGCUUUUUGUAGAUUUUCUCCUUCAUCCACCCUGAUGACUGCUUCUCGUAUCAAAGGAUUUGCAAACUAACUUCAUGUAAUUUUUUUUUAAAUUGAAAAUUCAGCUGAACCAACCAGAUCUAAUCUAAAUUUAAUCAAGUGAAAAUUUAAAAACUUUUUUUUUAAAAAAAAAUAUGCUUUAAUAAAAUUGAUUAAUCUAAAUUAAUGCAAUAAUCCAAUAACCCAUGAAUUUAAAGUAUGUUUAGAAAUAUGAUAAUUGUUGAUUUUUAAAGUGUUUUUUAUUUAGAGAUACAUUAAAAUAAUAUAUAUUUUUUAAAAAUAUUUUUUACAUCAACACAUUAAAAUGAUUAAAAACAUAUUAAAAAGUAUUAAUUAAAAAAAUAAUAAAUAAAUAAAUUUUUUUAAAAAAUACUUGUAAAAUAUCUAUGUAAUCAUUCAAAUUAUUUUAUUUUCUUAAAAGAAAAAAAUAAGUCGCGUACGAGAGAACCUUUGUUAUUAAUAUCACAUGCAAACUUCUUAAAACAUUAUUGUAAUCAUUAUUGACCAUUAUAUUAUUGUCCUCGUGAAAAUGACAUCUUCUCACCAUUAUUAGAAGAACAGGAGAGUGUUUUGAAAAGCGGGGACAGAGUGAGAAACAAGAACAUGAUUUUAAGGCACGUGGUCAGUUCCUUGUAUGGUCCUCAAUCAGGAAGGUACUGUGUGGUGCUAGAAGACAAGGCAGAAUAAGGUUAAAGGGACCUAAUUUACAAAUUUUACUAUUAAGGUGUAUAGUGAAAAUAAACUCCUCCCUAAUUAAUUUCUAUAUUUCCAUCAAAUCUAUUUUAGGGUUUGUUUUCUUGUAUAUCAUUGUUUUAAAUAAAAACAAUUGAUUUGACUAUUUAUAAGUGAAUUGAAAGACCAGCUAUGCAUCUAAUAAUUAAGAAGAUAAGAAAGAAGAAAAUGAUAAAAGUAAAACAAGAGGAAGAUUAAUGAUUGAUAUUGUAAUGUAAUGGAAUAUGUUUUUAAAAAUUAUUUUUAUUUAAAAAUAUAUUUGAAUAAUUUAUAAAAAAUUUUAUAUUAAUAUAUUGAAAUCAUAAAAAAUAUUAAUUUAAUAUAUUUUCAAAUAAAAUUCAUGCAAAUUUAAUUAAAAAAACAUUUUAAAAAAAAACUGUAAGGAGAAGAUAAGGUUGAACAAGUGACGACUAUCUAUUGGCUUCUCGGAUUACCUUAUCUCCAUGUCACAGGUCUUACUGUAUAAUGAUGCCAUCAAUACCCUUGUUCUUUUAGCUUUCUGUAUGAUGUAAUGGGCAGGUCUUAUUACUUGAGUAUGUGAUGCAAGAGAUAGUCAUUGCAGAUUUUUUUUUUAUUAUUAUUAAUAUGGGUGUCCGGGCUAGCUUGCGCGCACCACGACUAAUCUUAUGGCCCACUGAACAUCCUGCAAGUCCAAUGAGCAUGUAAAGCACCGCGGGGGUGACAGACAGACCGCACAUGAGGACCCAAUAGAGACAGAAAGGGAACAAACUCUCCAGCCCCAUUCCCACCGGGACUCGAACCGGAGUUCGAAGGAAGGAGAGCUGCCCCCUCAAUCACUGAGCCACACAACCUGUUGGUGUCAUUGCAGAUUUUAGUUGCCUAAGUUUGAUCCUUUUUUGAGUUCCUUGCAAGUCUCUCUUUUUUUUUUCUCCUUAUUCAUAAUUUUCAAAAAAAAAAAAAAACAUUGACCGAUCAUAGCGUUAGAUUAAUUUUAUGUGUUAUUGGAAGCCAUGAGGAGCUAGUAUCUUAUGUAGUUAUUUAAAAAUAUAAAAAUUAUUUAAAAAAAAUUAUUUAAAAAAAAUUAUUCAAAAAAAAAUUAUUUUAUGUAGUUAUUUUCGUCUUCACCAUCUAACACAUUUUAAUUCAUCACUCCUGUAUUUAUUCAUUUUGUUCUAAAAUACUAAUUAAAUACAACCUAAUUUUUAAAUUUGAGUUUAUAAAAAAGAUAUAAAUAUCACAACAUAGGAUAAAAGUUUUAAGAAUAAACACUUACAAUAAUAAUAAUAAUAAUAAUAAAACCUUUCCAAAUUUGUUCUAUAAAAGACAAAAUAAAAAUAACCUCAACAAAUCUAGUACUAAUUUUACAUUGAACCUUGAACUUUUCAAAUUGCAUUUUCCUUUUCAAUAUUUUGUUCCAAAUUGCAUUUUCCCUUUCAUUUUUUUGUACAUUGAUUGAUUGGUUGAUUGAAUGGUACAGUCCUCAUUUUCAUUUACUUUGGAAAAUACACAAAAAAUCACUUUCAAGUUUCAAGUUACUAAACGACGUGCAGCUCAAUCAAUGCCUUCAUUGCCUACAGCCUUUAAAAAAUCAACUUAUUAGCUAGUUUCGUCCUUGGCUCGUUUAGAACGACAUCCACCCGAAUGUUUGACAUGUGGCACUUGAAGAUCAGAAUAAGAGAAUGUUGGAUGUUCACUUAAUCUUUUAAUUCUAGAAAUUUAAAAAAAAAAUUAGCUACAAUGAUUGCUAGGUGAUAUCUAAGUAAGUUAAAAAGACUAAUGUCUAGUGUGCUAAGAUGAUAAGUAGUUGUUACUUGCAAAUUUGAUGGAUGUGGGUAUUCUUAAAUGCUUCUGAAAGAAUUCAUACAAAGAGAAAAAAUAUAAUGAUAUUUCAAAGAGAUAAACUCUAAAAAUAUAUAUACUAACAUUACUAAGAAUGAAGAUAUUAUAAACCUUGAACUUUGAAGAUUCAUUGAGUAUUUAUAACUUACAAGUCUUGUCUUUUGUGAAGAGGAGAAGUUAAAAAGUAAUUUUAUUCUUGUGGUAUUUUGAGUUGUAUUUUAUUCAAAAUAAAAUAUUGAGAAACUCAUGUGGGGUUUUAAAAAAAUUAAUUUGAUUAUUGUGGUAUUUUGAGUUGUAUUUCACUCAAAAUAAUAGUAUUGAUUCAAUAUAAAAUAUUAAGAGGCCUAUCAUAGUAGGCCGCCUAUGUGGGAUCUUGAAAAACAUAAUUUCAUUCCUAUGAUAUUUUAAAUUAUAUUUUACUCAAAAUAAUAUAUAUUGAAUCAAUAUAAAAUAUUUAAAAACCUGCGUGCAGUCUUGAAAAAAUUUUGAAUGGAGAGGUAGGCUUAGACGAGUUACUUGAGUUUGUUAUGAGUGAAAAAUAGAUCCAUUAAUGCUACAUAUCCACAUAUAUUACCUAAACCCACACACAUUGGAUUCAAAAAAUGCACUAAAGCCAACAAAGAUGCUGGGAUGUAUGCCGAAUAAGGUAUAUGGGUCAAGGCAGCGUCUGGAUUCAAGGGCAGUUAAGCUUUGGGAGGUUUUUUUAUCCCAUUAAAUUUUGGUCUAUAUUGACUUGGUUUCUUUGGGUGGUGACUAGUUAUUUAUGGUGAAGUGAUAAUCACUUCUUUUAUUCUAGUGGAAUUCUUGAUGUUUAGGUUGGGAAUAAAUUUAGCUCCUCUUGUUUACCUAAAAAUUGAGGGAAAGUAGCUGAAAUAUCUUCUUUUAAAUUCUUUAACUUUGCUUUCAUAUUGAAUUUAUGAAAAUGUUAUCUUUUUUAUAUUGUUAAAAUGAUGUCAAGUCUUAAAGACUGUUAGCCAUGUGUUCCUAAUUAACUUUUGAUUUUUUGUAUUAUACCUCAUACAUAAUUGCUGGAAUAUAAAAUAAUUUAUUUUUUAUUCAUGUUUGCUUUCUAUCUAUUGUACAUGCAAAAGUUUAUCUUAUAUUACUUUUAACUAAACAUAUUUUUUAAAAAAAUCCAACUAAAAGUGUUUUUGUUAAAUCUAUUAUUUUAAAUCGCAACUAUAAAAGCUAUCAUUAUUGUAUGUUUGGUAACGUAGUGUAGAUCAUGCUUUUAUAAAAAUGAUUUUCAAUUGAAAAUACAUUAAAAUAAUUUUUUUCAAUUAAAAAAAACACUUCAAAAUCAUUAAAAAUACUUAAAAAAUUAAAUUAACAACAUUAAUUUAAUAUUUUUUAAAAAAUCAAAUACAAUUUUAAAAGUAAUUAAUUUAAAUUAAAAAAUUAAAUUAACGAGCUUUUCCUUUAUUUGAAAGGGAAGGGCUAAACGAUAUUUUUGCAUUUUCUUUGCACAAUGUGAUUAUUUAAUUACCCUUGGAAAACAAAGAAAAUCACUUGGAUCUAGGGGCUUAUUAGUCUUUGACUUGAUUUUUCAACAAGUAUGUUACUUCAUUGUCCUUGAAAAUUUAAAAUAAUUAUCUAACUCUGAGGCUCUUUUAUCAUUUAGAUGUGGUCAUUUAGUAGUUAUUGGGUGUUAUUGGAGACAAUAAGAUAAUUUGAAAAAUAAGAAAAUUAAAUUAAAAAAAAUAGAAUCAAGUGAACAAUGUUUGCCACCUCUGAACGAUGUGUGCGGCGUCAUCCAAUACCCAAAACGGUGAUUCCAGGGAGGCUUCUGAAGGAUCUCAAUGUCCCCCUACAAAUCAACGACACGUGUAGCACUAUAGCGGUUGGUGUGACAUUUGUGGCUUUUUUUUUUUUUUUCUUUUCCCCUCUCUCCUACUCGAUUUUCGUGUUGGGAUUAAAAAAUCAUAUCAGUCCCUAAAGUUUAUCGUACUUAUGAUUUCAUCCAUAUUAUCUUUAUUAUAAUUUUUUAAAUUUAGAAUACUUUAUGAAAUUAUGUGAAAUCAUGUGGUUUUUUCAAUUUCAUCAUUGUUCUCUUUGUUGCCUUUUUUUUUUUUUUAGAAUGGCCUACUAAAUUAAGAAUUGUUUUUAAUUUUAGAUGGUUUUCACAAUUUUUUUUUUACCUUGCAAGAUUUUUUUAUUAUGUCAUCCUCCAACAUUUAAAUAGUCAGGUCUUUAGCUUUUUAGUUGAGUCCAGGUCUAAAAUUUAACGGUUUGUUGGUUUAAGAAAUUGACCCCGGUUUCUUUGAUUUUUUUUUCCAUCCUCCAAUAUUUUGUUAUUUUUUAAUUCACUUUAUAUGGUAUUUUUUAGUCUUUUUUAAAAUAACGCAGUUGCCUUGGUUUUUUUUUUUUUUUUUUGUCUUUGUUGAAUUUAGUUUUUAUGAAGGAAUUUUAUUUUUAAAUUGAAUUAAAUUGAUUGAUUUCAUCUUUCAACAUUUAUUUUUUUAGGUGUUAAGCUGCUACGUUGAGCCUGAGUCAAGAAUGUAAUGGAUUGCGGGUUCGAGAGUUUAACCCGAGUUUAUAGGGUUCACUCAAGCUUCUUUAGUGUUUUGUUUCUUUUUUAAGCUCUUUUCUUUUUUCAUAUUUCAACCUUUAACAUUCUUUUUAUGUUUUUUUUUUAAUUGGUAUCUCCCUUAAAUAUUAAACAAAUAUAACCUAAAUAACCUAAUUUUUUUCAUUUAAUUUCUUUCUCUUAAAGUAUUUGAAUAUUACAAGGAUAAAAGUUAAAAAAACAAAAGGCACCCACACACCUACAUGAUAAAUCGGCUAUAAAUUACAAAAUCAAAAUAACCUCAGCCAACAUUGAUUACUACAAAUUAAUUUUAAAAUUGGAUUUGUUUGACUUAUAUCUAAAAAAUAUUAAUCUGAAUUUCUUCCUAUAAAAAAUAUGUGAGCAGAGUAUUUCAUGAAACCUAAUAAAAAUAAGAGUCUUCUUCAAUAUAUGUUUGUUUUUUUAUCAUCAUUUGUAAAUCUUGAUAGAAAAAAUGAGGAAUGUAUUUCUCAUGCCUCAUCACUCCUAUAUUUGUUUAUUAUAUCCUAAAAUACUAACUAUGCACAACCUAAUUUUUAAAUCUGAAUUUUUUAAAAGCAUUUAAUUAUCAUAACAUGUGAAUAAAAAUUUGUGCUCCAAAUGACAAAAUAAAAAUAACCUCAACAAACAUGAUUAGUACUAAUUAAUUUUUACAUUAAUACACAAGCAAGUUGUCAACUGUUGGAGGGAAGAACAUGUGCUGUCAAAUUUAUGGAAGGUUUAUUUAAUGAAACUCUUGGUUAAUACCAGUCAAUAAAAAGACAAAAAGAAGGGAGAGAGAGCGCUUAAAAGUAGAAACACCAUGAGCUUAAAUUAACCAACGAGUUGACUGGUAUAUCUGAGAGGUUUUCAAGGAAGCCAACAAGUGGAUUGGCUCAGCAAAUACCAUGAAAGGUUACUGGUAUUUCUUGGAGGUUUUCAAGGAAAGCAAGAAGAGGAUUGGCCCUCACACAGAUCAUUAUAAUUGUAUAUUUGUGCUAAUUGUCAGAAGGUCCGCUCUUGACAGAAAAAAUAAAAAAAGGAAUACAGAAACCAUCGCCAGUGUGAACAGCUUCCUGUUGUUCAUAUUUUAGGAAUUUCCCCUAAGAAUCCUCGUGUACUUAUCCUGAGUUAUUUAAAUGUUUGUCUCUAGCUACUGGGGAGCACCGCCAUGAAAAGUUGUGUGAGUGCCUUUGCCAAGAAUCCGCCAUGAUUUCUAACAUAUAAUCAUCCGACUCAGAUAAAAUAUGCCAAGAAUCAGUCCCACUCUCCACUACCAAAUCAUUCUUUAUUGAUGAUGCUUGGACAGUACUGCGGAAGAAGAUCACUUUCUAGAAUCUAAAUUAUAUUUCUAUCGCAAAACCAUAUAUCAAAUCGAUGUAUGGACAAGUGAAUUCGCAUCAGAAUCCUAUGCAACCUUUCAAACGUGCAGCUAACUCUUUAGAAAUAUUAUAUUGAUAAUUGGCAUAUUCAAAAGUGUACGAGGAUCGAUGACCAAUCUUCAGCUUAUUUUGAAAUUCAACAGUUUUGGAAAACAAUAUAGCCCUGAAGUCCAGCUUUAGGUGCAUGUUUUCUGGCUUUUGCACAUAUUUAAAACAAUCGCAUUAUCAGUAUGAACAAAAAGUCGCAUUAUCUUCUCUCUUUUCUCCAAAUAUUUGACACACGGCAAAAAUAAAACUAGUUGUUAAUCUAUAGCAUACCUAAAACCAUCAUCUUUGCGUAGAAGUACAUCAGUCAUGCUAAAACGUCCUGAUACUUUAUCAAAUAGAUAAUAAAUUUAUAUUUUACCAAGUAUAAGAUAUCAGUAAGCCACCUUUUAUUCAUAAAAAAAAGUCUACCAGCCACCUUAGUGUUGGUAAAUGCGAAUCGAGAGUCAACAUUCAACACUACAAAGUACAAACUACUCAAUUUAAUGGAAAGAAAAAACAAAUAAAAAGUAGACAUAUAAGAUUUAAUGUGGGUGAUUAAGCGAAAUUCUAUCUCCUCGGCAGACCUAGAGUAACCAUUCUUUACUUGAGAGGAAAUAUAAGAAUAUCAACGUGAUUUUUAUACUUGAAUAUAAAUUCCAAAACUUCUUUGGUAAACCUACUCACUCACUCAAAAGAAAAAAAAUUGAUGAACAAGAAAGAAAACAGCUUGGUGACUAUUCUCAUAGGCAAAGCCAUGAUGAUUCGUAGAUAAGGGGGAUACAAAUAAAAAUACUAUCCCAUCACACAAAUUUAUGUAUAACUUUUUUAUACAUUUCUAAGAAUUAUCUUUAUAAUUAAUUGCUUAUUAUUAUUUUUAUUUAAAAUAGUUUUAAAAAUAAAAGAAAAUUGAAACUUAAGAAACAUGUUUAAUAAAUAAUAAUAAAAAAAAGGUUAACGGAUGCAUGUUAUGUGAUUCAAAGAGUUAUUAUUCUGUCUUAUAUAACAAUGCUAUAACAAAAGGCUGAUAUUAAAUAUAUUGCCAUCGAUAUAAGAUUUACCAGGCUUGAAUCUAAUGAGAUUCUCGUUAUAAAAUACAUGUUCUUAUUCAUAGAGUUUAUAAAGGUUAUUACCCUUUCUUAUAUUGUUGAAUUGAUGUCAAAGUCUUAAAGACUGUUAGCCAUGUGUUACUAAUUAACUUCUGAUUUUUUGCAUUGUACGUCGUACAUAAUUGCUGGAAGAUAAAAUGCUUGAGACGAGUUUCUAGAGUAGAUAGACUAGAGAAGGGGAAGCAGGAGAGCCAGCCUGAAAUUUGAUUAAAAUGAAAUAAAAAGUAAGCGCGUAUGUCGCUGGGUUACUUUUUAUUCGUUUUUUUAUUUAUUUUACAUGCAAAAGUUAUCUUAGAAUACUUUUAACCAAAUAUAUUUAAAAACAAAAAAAAAAACCACAACUAAAAAUGUUUUUGUUAAGUUUAUUUUUUCAAAUCACAACUAUAAAAGCUAUUAUUAUUGUAUAUUUGGUAAUGUGGUGUAGAAUGAUUUAACAAAAAUAUUUUUAAAUUAAAAAUGUAUUAAAAUAAUUUUUUUCAAUUAAAAAAAACACUUCAAAAUCAUUAAAAAAAUACUUAAAAAUUAAUUAACAGCAUUAAUUUAAUAUUUUUUAAAAUUAAAUACAGUUUCAAAAGUUAUUAAUUUAAAUCAAAAAUUAAAUUAACAAGUUUUUCUUUUAUAUUAUACUAUAUACUAAAAGAUAGCAGCCUUUCACUGUGGAUUCGUAUAGUGAAAGGCUAAAGGCUGAUUUUACCCUUUAAUGAGCAAAGUAGCAUGCCUCGAAUUUAGAGAUAUAAUGGUUUUUUUCAUGGGACAUUAAUCUUUGACUUGAAUUUUCAACAAGUAUGUUACUUCAUUGCCCCUGAAAAUUUAAAACAAUUAUCUUUGACUCUAAUGCUUUUUUGUCAUUUAGAUGUGGUCAUUUAGUAAUUAUUGGGUGUCAUUGGAGAUAAUAAGAUAAUUUGGUAAAUUAAAAAAUUAAUUUUAAAAAAAAACAGAAUUAUGUUAACAAUGUUUGCCACCUCCGAACGGUGUGUGCAUCGUCAUUCAAUAACCAAAAUGGUGAUUCCAGGGAGGCUUCCGAAGAAUCUCAACGUCCCACCCCCCAUGAAUCAAUGACGCAUGUAGCACUAUAGUGGUUGGCGUGACACGUGUGACCUUUUGUUUUAUUCCCCUCUCUCCUACUCGAUUUUCGUGUUGGGAUAAAAAAUCAAAUUAGUCCCUAAAGUUUAUUGUACUUAUGAUUUCAUCCCUAUUCUCUUUAUUAUAAUUUUUUAAAUUUAGAAUACUUUAUGAAAUUAUAUGAAAUUAUGUGUUUUUUCAAUUUCAUCCUUAUUCUCUUUGUUGCAUUGUUUUUUAUUUAGAAUAGUCUACUAAAUUAAGAAUUGUUUUCAAUUUCAGAUGGUUUUUACAAUUGUUUUUUUUUCAAUGUCAUUAUUUUUUAGUUUUUUUUCUUGUUAAAUCUAAUCUUUUUUUAUUAUUUUAUUUUUUUGACCUUGCAAGAUUUUUUUGGAUUGAUUUUUACUAUUAUGUCAUCUUCCAACAUUUAAUUAGUCGGGUCUUUAGCUUUUUAGUUGAGUCCGGGUCUAAAAUUAAACGGUUUAUUGGUUUAAGAGAUUGACCCCAGUUUCUUUGUUUUUUUUUUCCUUUUUUUUCCAUCCUCCAGCAUUUUGUUAUUUUUUAAUUCACUUUAUAUGGUAUUUUUUAGUCUUUUUAAAAAUAACAUAGAUUGCCUUGUUUUUUUUUUUUUUUUUGUCUUUGUUGAAUUUAGUUUUUAUGAAGGAAUUUUAUUUUUAAAUUGAAUUAAAUUGAUUGAUUUUAUCUUCCAACAUUUAAUUUUUUAGAUUUUGAGCUCCUGCGUUGAGCUUGGGUCAAGAAUUUAAUGGAUUGCGGGUUUGAGACUUUAACCCGAGUUUAUAGGGUUCACUCGGGCUUCUUUGGUGUUUUGUUUCUUUUUUUAAUCUCUUUUCUUUUUUCAUAUUUCAACCUAUAACAUUCUUUUUUUACUCUCUUUUUAAAGGAUUUAUCUUUCUUUUUUAAAUAACAAGGGUUGCCUCAAAGUUUUUUCUUUCAAUCUUUGUUAAAUUUUGCUUCUUUAAAAGGAUUUUUUAAAUUAAUUUAAUUUUUUUAAUUUCAUCCUCUUGUAUUUAAAUUGAGGCAAUACAUGAGAGAAUUUUGUUUUUUUAAUUAAGUUUUUUGAAAAUUAUUAUAUUUUUUUUUCACCUUUUGUUUUCUAUAGAGUUAUCCUGAUAUUAUAUCUCAAGUCAUCGAUUCAAUAGAUUUACCAAGUUUGACUUAGGUUUUUUUUUCAUUUUUUUUUAUCUCAAGUCAAUGAUCAAAAUCUUAAUUUUUUUUAAAAAAUGCAUCGUCAAUAGUGUUUUUUUUACAUGUUUUUUUUUUCUAAAUCUAUAUUUCUUUCUCUAUUUUCAUACUUCAACAUUUAGUUUAUUAGAGACUGGGUUUAAUAAUUUAUUAUGGUUUGCUUUAUAUAUGGUUAGUUCAGUUUCUUUACACUAUAAACUAAAUGAGGUGGUGAAUUCACUAUUCAUUCCAAUAAUGUUUUUUUUUUUUUAAUUUUUUUUGUUUUUUAAAUCUAUAUAUUAUUUCUCUAAUUUCAUAUUUCAACAUUUAGUUUAUUGGAGACUAGGCUUAAUAAUUUAUCAUAGUUUGCUUUAUAUAUUGUUAGCUAAGUCUAAUAACUCGUAUUACGGGUUUUACGAGUUAGCUCAAUUUUUUUUUUAAUAUUUUUAUAAUUGGUAUUUUUUUCAAUUUUAUCAUUCAAUACUGGGUUGAUUAUGAAUUAAGCUUCAUGAUUUAUUUUGUUUUGUUUUUUAUGAGAUUAUCCUGAUUUUAUGACUCAGGUCACGUGUUUUGCGAAUUAAGUCGUGAAGACUCAAGUCUUUUAUUAUAUAAUAUUUUUAGAUUGAUUUUUUUUUCAAUUUCAACCUUUAACAAUAAAUUUAUUGAAAAUUAAGAUUUAUAAUUUUUUUUGAUUUAUUUUUUAUAAAGUUAUCACAAUCUUAUGACCUUAGUUGCGGGUUUGGCAAAUUAAUCUACGUUGAGACUCACGCUAUUUUUUUUGUUUACUUUCUAUGAAAAGUUAAAAUAGUUUAGUAAUAAAAUUAAUAUAAAAAAUAAAUUGGGUGCAAAAUUGAUAACACCCAUGUAGUUUAAUGGUGUGUGUGUGUAUAUAUAUAUAUAUAUUUUUUUUUUUAUAAAAAAAGCUAUCAUUUUGAAAGUUUUAUUAAAAAGUCAUAUUUUUACCAAUCAUUAAGAUUGUGUUUUGAUCCAUAAAAUCAAUUAAUUUAAUUUAAGCUAACUUUUACAUGAUUUAAUUUAAAACUUAAGUUAGAUAAAAAAAAACUAAAUUAUAUAAUUAACUUAUUAAAUCAAUAAUAUAAUUAAAAGAUUCUUCAUGCUUUUAAUAUUUUUUUACAUUUAAAAAAAAUUAUCCAAUGAAUAAUAGUUCAAUAAACUAGCUGAACUACUUCAUGAACGAUAUGUUUUAAAUUAGCAAUUAAAAUAUCAAAGGAUUUAUGGGACACUCCCAAUGAUAUUAAUUUGUAAAAUACUUAAUUUUUUAGGUAAUUGUAACCUAAAAAAAAUCAAAAUAAUUUAUUAAUAAAAUUAAUAUAAAAAAUAAAUUGGGUGCUAAAUUGAUAAUAGUACCCAUGUAGUUUAAUGGUAUUUUUUUUUAAAAGCUAUCAUUUUAAAAGUUUUAUUAAAAAUUAAGUCAUGUUUUUACCGAUUACUAAAAUUAUAUUUUAAUUCAUAAAAUCAAUCAAUUUAAUUUAAGCUAAUUUUUACAUGAUUUAAUUAGAAAGUUAGAUAAAAAAACUAAAUUGCAUGAUUUUAUAAUUAACUUAUUAAACCAGAUUUAAUAAUAUAAUUAAGAGAUUCUUCAACAUUUACAUUAUUUAAUUAGAAAGGUAAAUAGAAACUAGAUCAUAAGACACUAACGUCAGAUGAACUACUUAAUGAUCGAUAUGCUUUAAAUGAGCAAUUAAAAUAUCAAAGGAUUUCUAGGGUACUCCAAGAUGUUUAAUUAUUAGAGGGUUAAUUUUAGUUCCCUGAUAUCUUCUGAUUGUUGCUGGUUGUAGAUUUCCUACUUCUUCCACCUUGAUGACUGCUACUCAUAUCAAAGGAUUUGCAAACUACUUCAUGUUUUCUUCUUCUUUUUUUUUUUGAAAAUUCAGUUGAACCAACUAGAUCUGAUCUAGAUUUAAUCCACUUAAAAUUAAAAAAAAUUAAAAGAAAAAAAAUGUUUCUUUAAUAAAAUUAAUUAAUCUAAAUUGAGGUAAUAAUCCAAUAACCCAUGAAUUCAAAAUAUGUUUAGGAGUGUGAUACUGGUUGAUUUUUAAAAUGUUUUUUGUUUGGAAAUAUAUCAUAAUAAUAUAUAUUUUUUAAAAAAUAAUUUUUGACAUCAACACAUCAAAAUAAUAAAAAACAUAUUAAAAAUUAUUAAUUUAAAACAAAUAAAUAAAUAAAUAAAAUUUAAUUUUUUAAAAAAAUACUUGUGAAAUAUCUAAGUAAUCAUUCAAAUUAUUUUAUUUUUUAAAAUGAAAAAAAAAAGUCGCGCACACGAGAGAACCUUUGUUAUUAAUAUCACAUGCAAACUUCUUAAAACAUUAUUGUAAUCAUUAUUGACCAUUAUAUUAUUGUCCUCGUGAAAAUGACAGGGAAUUGACAUCUUCUCACUUGUGCAUAUUAUUCUUAAUUUUAUUUGUUUGUCAUUAUCUUUAUAUUAUGCGUUUUAUCAUAAUUAUGUCAUAAAUUUGCAUUUUUGGGGUAAUUGCUGCUUUAAACUCGUAAGUGUAAACUAUUUUAUUUCAAUGUAUUCGUUACAUCGAUGGUAUGCUAUCUUUCACUAAUGAAAUUCUUUUUAUUGGUUUUGAGAAGGGAAAAAAAAAGUAUUUCUCUCUUUGUUUUAUGGAAAAAGCACAGAAAUCUAUGAACUAUAUAAAAAAAUAGACAUUCCCGUUACAUAAUAAUCGAGGAAAUGAGUGUGUAAAAUUAAGGUAAUAAAAUUGAAACCAAAUCAGCUUCAUUAGAUAAAGUUAUUGUGUAAAUCAGUGCGACUUUUAUCCAAAUUAAAUAAGUGUUCGAAUAUGUGAUAAAGUAAUUUUGAAUGUUUAAUUUUUUAUUUUGUACAAUGAAGUAUUUAAGUAAAUGUAUAUUAAUUCAAUAUUAAUGUGACCAUUAAAUAGUGACAAGAGCGAUAACACUCGAGAUAAUAUUUAAAGUUAAUAUCAUUAAUCGAUUGAUUGAAAUAAGAGAUAAAAUCAUAAAAAAAUUAAAAUUUUAGGGUUAAUUAGGAGUUAAAUUGAAAAAUUUUACAACUAAAAAUCAUUUUGUAAAGGACUUCGAAUUAUAGGAGUUUAAUUGACACAUAAUGGGGGUGAAAUUGAAUGAAGAAGAAGCAGAGGUCCCAUUAAUGGCAGCCAUUCAAUGCAUUUUGUUUUCUUCAGUUAAAACCAUGCCUUUAUCAUUGGGGAGCCAGUGGGAGAAUUACGUUUCACUCUCAUUACAUGGGCGUGCUGCGAACGCGAGAUUCUUUAUAAUAUUUUAAAAGAUCUACACGCGUGAAACACACGAUUUAGCUAAUUGUUCCUGAGAGUGUCAGACUUGAUGUAGUUCUGACCGGUGAAUGAUUUACGCAUGUGUUUUUUUAUGUUUUUUUUAAAAAUUAAAUGUUUGUUUAUUUUUUAUUUUAAAUUAUUUUUUUAUAUAUUUUUAGAUCUGAUAUCAAAAAUAAUUUUUUAAAAAUAAAAAAAAUAUUAUUUUAAUAUAUUUCCAAGUAAAAAAUAAUCACAAUCACAUUCCUAAAUACCCCUUAAUCAUCAUGUUAAUCUUUUACAUUGACCUUGAGAUCAUUUUUUACAAAAAAAAAUGAGUUUUUUUUUAAAAUUAAAUUAUUUUUUUAAUUUUUGAUAAUAUCAUAAAAAAAUAAACUAAAAAAUAAUUGUAACCUUUUUUCAUAUUAUUUUAGUUUGUUUUAUUUCUUUACACCCCUUCAUGGUGUUUUGUGUAUAUAUAUAUAAGUUUAUUUGAUUGAUAAAACAUUUUUGUUUGUUGUUUGAUGAAAUAUCGUUUGAUUUUUUUCUUAUUUUUUUAACAUUUGAGGGCAUUUUUUUGUUGUUGCAAACCUCCACUAUGUAAACUUUUUUAUUCUUAAAAAGUCAUUCAUUUGUUUUUUUUUUUAAUAUCAAACUAGCUUUUACCUAGGUCGCGUCAGAAGACUAGUUCAAUUUUGAAACCUAAUCCAUGUAAAAGCUUGAUUUGGGAGGUCUCUUAACUUCUAAAAAAAAAAGGUUACUUGAAAAUAAUGAAAGAGAGAUAAAGUUGGUAAAAAAGCAUUUUUCAUAAACGAAACUCAUUGGUUUUUGUUAUUAACGAGUUUUAUUAUACGAGAAAAGUUUGAUGGUAGAUAUUUCUAUUAAAUUAGCUCUAUUUUUAAAUAAUGAUUGAUUUUUUAUAUGAUUUUAGUUGCAUGAUAUUUCAAAGAAAUUAGUUUGAUUUGUUCUAAACAUGAUUAAAACAAAAAGAACAAUCAAUGUAAAAUAUCUGAAUGUUUAUCUAUAUUUUAUUUCUAUUAUAAAGAUUAACUUCAUGCUUUAAUAUUAAAUUAGUGAUAACAACUCCUUUUGAUUUAUUAGUUCAUUUAUAUUUUUAAUUUGUUUUAUAAAAUACAAAUAGCAUCUUUUUAUAUAUCAGUGAAAAAAAUAUUAAGUAUUGGAUUUUAUAAUUUAUUUUAAUGUGUUUUUUAUAAAAUUAUUGUGAUUUGAAACAAAUAUUUCGGUAAUAGAAUGAGGCUAGAUUUUCUUAACGUUAAUUUUUAAAAUAUUUUAGCGGUAAUGAAUUGGUGAUAUCUUCUGAUUGUUGCUAGUUGUAGAUUUCCCUCCUUCUAGCACCUUGACAACAGCUUCUAAUAUCAAAGGAUAUGUAAACUAACUUCAUAAUUUGUUUUUUGUUAUUUUAAGUUGAAAUUCAGCUAACUAACCAUCCAUAUUUGACAAAGUUAAAAUUAAAAAUAAAAAUAAAAACAAUUAUGUUACUUUAUAAAAUUAAUUAAUUUAAAUUGAUAUAAUAAUUCAGAAAUGUGAUAGCAGUUGGUGUUUAAAAUGUUUUUUUUAAUAUAAUAAAAUAAUAUAUAUUUUUUAAAAAUUAUUUUUGAUACUAGAAAAUCAAAAUAAUUAAAAAAUAUAUAAAAAAUAUUAAUUUAAAAUAAAUAAAUAAAUAUAUAUUUUAAAAAAAUACUUGUGAAAUAUCUAAGUAAUCAUUCAAAUUAUUUGAUUUUCUUAAAUGAAAAAAAAGACGCGUACGAGAGAACCUUUAUUAUUAUUAUUAAUAUCACAUGCAAAGUUUUUUAAAUAUUAUUAUUUUCUUGAAAAUAACAGGGAAUUGACUAUUAUUUUCCUCGUGAAAAUCACCAUUACUAUCUUUGUUAUUAACAUCACAUGCAAAGUUUUUAAAACAACAUUAUUGUCCUCGUUAAUCGACCUCUUCUCACCAUUAUUUUCUUUCUUUCGUCAGGACCGCUGAAAUAAGAACAUGGAGGAAAUGUGUGGUGCUAAAAGACAAGGCAGAAUAAGGUUAAAGGAACCUAAUUUACAAAUUUUACUCUGAAGGUGUACAGUGGAAAUAAAUUCUCCCUGGUUAAUUUCUAUAUUUUACAUCGGUAUAUUAAAAUCUAAAAAAAACACUAAUUUGAUAUAUUUUGGAACAAAACCCGUCCCAAUCCAGUUAAAAAACAAAAAAAUAAUGGUUUUUUUUUUCUUGUAUAUUAUUAUUUUAAUACCAAGUUUAGUCCAUGGUCAGGACAAGUACAACACCUAUGCCAUGUUCGAGAGGUGAAUCUAAUAAUUAAGGAGAUAAUAAAAGAAGAAGAUUGAGAAUCCAAGAGUAUAUAUAAUUAAUAUUGUGAUGUAAGAUAUUUUUUAAAAUUAUUAAUUUUUUAAAUAUUAAAAUAAUCUUUUUAAUAUUUUACAUCGGUAUAUUAGAAUAUGAAAAAAAACACUAAUUUGAUAUAUUUUGAAACAAAACUCAUCCCAACGGUGCCAACUGGAAAUUAACUAGGGAGAGUCUAUUUCAAUAAAUAAAAAAACAAAGGAUAGCAAUUAGAUUAAUUAUAUGUGCUAUUGGAAGAGAUGAGGAGCUAGUAUCAUUCGUGCAGGUUUCAAAGUGAUCAUCAUCAGCCUUCCAUUCCUUUUUCUCUUUGCUAGGUGAGCACUUGUGCAUAUUAUUCUUAAUUGUAUUUGUUUGUCAUUAUCUUUAUAUUAUGCUUUUUAUCUUAAUUAUUUCAUAAAAUUGCAUUUUUAUGGGAAUUGCUGCUUUAAACUCGUAAGUGUAAACUAUUUUGUUUCAAUGUAUUCGUUAGAUCGGUGGUAUGCUAUCUUUCACUAAUGAAAUUCUGUUUGUUGGUUUUGAGAAGGAAAAAAAAAGUAUUUCUAUCUUUGUUUUAUGGAAAAAGCACAUAGAUCUAUGAACUAUAUAUAUCGAGGAAAUUAGUUUUUAAAAUUAAGAUAAUAAAAUUGAAACCAAAUCAGCUUCAUUAGAUAAAGCUGUUGUGUAAAUACGCGUAUGAUGCAGAGAUAGUCAUUACAGAUUUUAGUUGGCUAAGAUUGAUCCUUUGUUGAGGUCGUUCCAUUAAUUAUACUUCCUUGCAAGUCUUUUUUGUCUCCUUAUUCAUAACUUUUUAUUUUAAAAAAAAAUUUGACCGAUCAUAGCUUUAGAUUGAUUAGAUGUGUUGUUGGAAGCGAUGAGCAGCUCGUAUCAUUCGUGCAGGUAUCAACCUUCCAUACAGAGACUGGUGGAAAAUGGCUAUCGAAAGUGUUGGUGGGUCCGUUGUAUCUAAGAUAGCAGAGCUCUUGGUGGAACCAGCAAUCAAGCAGUUCCGUUACAUGUUCUGUUUCAACAAUUUUGUUCAAGAAUUCGAUGAACAAAUGAUGAACCUGGCUUGGGCAUUUUAUCGUCUGCAAGAUGCUGUCAACGUUGCUGAAAGGAAUGCUGAAGAAAUUGAGAUUGAUGUCAACACAUGGCUGGAAAAUGCAAAAAACGAAAUUGAAGGUGUGAAUCGUUUGCAAAAUGAAAAAGGAAAAAUCAUCAAAUGCUUUACUUGGUGUCCAAAUUGGAUGCGACAAUUCAAGUUAAGCAAGGCACUGGCAAAGAAGACGGAGACUUUGAGAAAACUUGAAGAAAAUAGCAGAAAGUUUCCAAAAGUGUCCCACAAAGCACCUCUUCAAGAGAUAAAAUUUCUUCCAUCAAAGGAAUUCACACUCUCAGGAUCGUCAAAAGAAGCUUUCAAACAGAUUAUGAAAGCUCUCAAAGAUGACAAGGUCAAUAUGAUCGGACUGUACGGCAUGGGAGGGGUGGGUAAAACCACCCUGGUGAAAGAAGUAGGCAGGAGAGCCAAAGAGUUGCACCUUUUUGAUGAAGUUUUGAUAGCUACGGUGUCCCAGAAUCCAAAUGUCACAGGCAUCCAGGAUCAAAUGGCAGAUCGUUUAGGUCUGAAAUUUGACGAGAAUAGUAAAGAAGGGAGAGCAGGUCGGUUAUGUCAGAGACUGCAGGGGAAGAAGAUGCUUAUAGUCCUGGAUGAUGUUUGGAGAGUUAUUGACUUCGAAGAGAUAGGGAUCCCAUUUGGUGAUGAUCACAGGGGUUGUAAAAUUCUUCUAACAACACGUCUUGAAGACAUGUGUUCUUAUAUGAAGUGCAAGGAAAAAGUUUUUUUAGGUCUCUUUUCUGAAGAGGAAGCAUGGGCUUUAUUCAGAAUCAAUGCAGAUUUACGUGACGAGGACUCUACCUUGAACACGGUGGCAAAGAAGGUUGCGAGAGAAUGUAAUGGAUUGCCUAUAGCACUUGUGACAGUGGGAAGGGCUCUAAGAGAUAAAUCUGUUGUUGAGUGGGAAGUAGCGUCUGAAGAGCUCAAAAACUCUCAAUUUCGGCAUUUGGAACAAAUUGACGGACAAAAAAAUGCAUAUGCAUGUCUUAAGUUGAGCUAUGAUUAUUUGACGUCCGAUGAAACCAAGUCAUGUUUCUUGCUAUGCUGUUUAUUUCCAGAAGAUUACAACAUUCCAAUUGAGGACUUGACGAGAUACGCAGUUGGCUAUGGGUUACAUAAAGAUGCGGAGUCCAUUGAAGAUGCAAGGAAACGAGUUUAUGUGGCAAUCAAAAACCUCAAAGCUUGUUGUAUGCUGUUAGGAACUGAAAGUGAAGAAUAUGUGAAAAUGCAUGACUUGGUUCGUGAUGUUGCUAUUCGGAUAGCAUCAUCAGAAAAAUACGGAUUCAUGGUAAUGGCUGGCAUUGGGUUGCUGGAGUGGCCAACGAGCAAUAAAAGCUUUGAAGGCUGUACAACAAUCUCGUUAAUGGAGAAUGAACUAGCAGAACUUCCUGAAGGAUUGGUGUGUCCACAGCUCAAAGUUCUAUUGUUAGAACUGGAUCGUGAUUUGAAUGUUCCAGAGAGGUUUUUUGAAGGGAUGAAAGAAAUUGAAGUUUUGUCUCUGAAGGGAGGGUGUUUGUCAUUGCAAUCACUUGAACUCUCAACGAACCUUCAGACUUUGCUGUUGAGAAGGUGUGAAUGCAAGGACCUCAAUUGGUUGAGAAAGCUGCAAAGACUUAAGAUUCUUGUUUUCAUGCGGUGCGACUCCAUUGAAGAAUUACCUGAUGAAAUUGGGGAGCUCAAGGAGUUAAGGUUGUUGGAUUUGACAGGUUGUUACAAUCUAAGAAGGAUUCCUGUGAAUUUGAUAGGAAGGUUGAAGAAGUUAGAAGAACUGUUGAUCGGGGAUGAGAGCUUCAAGGGAUGGGAUGUUGUUGGAUGUGACAGCACAGAAGGAAUGAAUGCAAGCCUAACAGAACUAAGUUCGGUGUCUCAUUUAGCUGUAUUAUCAUUGAGGAUACCGAAGGUUGAAUGCAUUCCCAGAGAUUUUGUUUUUCCCAGGGUUGAAUCACAUGUAGAAUCACUCCAUUGGGUUGAAUCACAUGUAGAAGUGAGUGAUUGUGGGGAUGUUCACACUCUGUUUCCAGCAAAAUGGCGGCAAGCUUUGAAAAAUCUAAGGAGAGUGGAAAUUUUUUACUGCAAUUCAUUGGAAGAGGUAUUUGAAUUUGAUGAGGCUGAAGAAGGAAUUAACGAGGAGGAGUUGCCGCUAUUGUCAUUUUUAACGGAGUUACAGCUGUCCAAUUUACCUGAGCUCAAAUGUAUAUGGAAGGGGCCCACCAGACAUGUUAGCCUCCAGAGUCUUACUCAUCUGAAGUUAUGGUUUCUUGACAAACUGACAUUUAUCUUCACACCGUCCCUUGCUCAAAGUCUUAUUCAUCUGGAAACACUACAGAUAGAACGUUG
rnacentral:lncRNA from 1 species